UGGGGAAUCAUGCGCAAAAGCACUUGUUUCAGCAGGCUGGGAUGUUGUUGUGAUUGAGAAAACUCGUGGACCCCCAACCCAAAACCCAACCGAUGCUGGCCUUGGACUCGAUCCAUUGGCUCAGAAAAUUGUUCAGUCAUGGCUCCAUGAACCUGAACUUCUUUACAACAACACUUUACCUAUCACCAUUACUGAGGGAUAUAAUAUAAUAUAUUUAAUUUCUUUUUUCCCAGUAGAAUCCAGUAGUGCUUUGAAUUAUACUGAUCUCUUCAAGAUAUUAGUUGCACACGUGUAUAUACAAUGGUGUAUGGUUAAGAUUUGAUAAAAGUAUAUUUUGCUCUACACAAAGUACAAUUUAGAAUGGAAUCUCAUUGGGAAAAAAAUAUCUAUAUAUGUUGAAUAGAUAAAAUUUCAAUUUGUGUUUAAUUGCAGAACCUAGCAACAGAUGGGGAAAAGAAGAUCAGCUGGGUAAUAGGAAGAGAAGAAGGCGCUAAGUAUCUGACAGCAUAUUGGGCUGAUCUUCAUGGCCUUAUAUACAAUACUCUGCCACCUGAAAUAUUUUUAUGGGGUCACCAGUACCUCUCUUUCUGUAUUUCUGAAGACAAAUUAACUGUCAAAGUUAGAGCUAAGGAUCUUGAGACUGAUGAAAUAAUCGAGAUAGUAGGAGAUUUGCUCGUCGGAGCAGAUGGGAUCCUCUCAUCAAUUGGUCAGAGCAUUCUACCUGACUUCAAAUUGAGGUUUGUGCUUGCUUGUGAAUAUCAAUAAAAGUAAUUAAUUUUUGAGUAUUUUGUUUCAUAAAUUUCAAUGUGUUUUUAAUAGGUACACAGGAUACUGUGAGUGGAGAGGUGUUUUUAAUUUUUCAGAAAAUGAUUCAGAAACCAUCUUAGGCAUUCGAAAAUCGUAUCCUGAUAUUGGGAAAUGCUUUUACACGAAUAUUGGUUCAGGAUCUCACAUCUUAGUCACUGAGCUUAAGAAAGAGAAGUUCAAUUGGGUUUGGUAUGUCAACCAACCUGAGCCCGAGCUCAAGGUAACUGCUUACUUUUGUUUCAUCUUUCUAUUUUGUUUUCGGGGUUUGAGUUGAGUGCUAAAAUCUAAUUUUUGCAAACGAUCAACACAGCUCAGACCAUCACUGGAUCCACUUUUUUUUUUUUUUUUUAAUUUUCCGGUUUAUCAAUGCAGUAUGACGUGACAUUGGGAAACAAAUUAUUUUAUUCUCUGCAGGGAAAUACAACUUCUGUGAAAGUAAGCAGUGACAUGAUCGAGGAGUUGCACCAAAGAGCAGAGCAGGUUUGGUUACCUGAAUUGUCAAGAAUGAUCAAAGAAACAAAGGAUCCUUUCCUUAAUGCUAUAUAUGAUUGCGAUCCUUUGGAGAAAAUCAUCUGGGACAGAGUGGUGCUAACAGGAGAUGCAGCUCACCCGACAACUCCACACUCUGCCAGAAGCACAAACAUGGCGAUAAUAGAUGCAGCAGUGUUAGGAAAAUGCCUCGAGAAGUGGGGGCCGGAUCAUUUAGACUCUGCUCUGGAAGAAUAUCAAUCCAUUAGGAAGCCUGUAACUUCAGCACAAGUUCUACAUUCGCGACGAUUGGGUCAAAUGAAACAGGGGUUAAGUAUUCCUGGAAGGGAGCGGCCUUUUGAUCCAAAGACAGCAAGUCUAGAGGACUCGGUAUUCAUCCUUAACAAAAAUGUGCCUCUUUUCGACGUUGUUCCUCCGAUUCUUGAUUCAAUUUUUCGUUCUGCUUGAUAAUUUUCGAGGGAGAAAGUAACAUUUUCAUUUUUACGUAACAAAGUCAUCUAGAGACAAACCUUCUCUUGUUUUCUCACAGCUUUGGGGAAACUUCAGAGGACACGGCUUGGUCUGUUCAUUAUGCUAACUAUAGCUGCCUAUAAAUAAGAGGGUUGACCUCAAUUGUGUGAGUAAAAGAACUGCUAUACUUGUGUUCCUUUCUGUAAUAACGAAAGCCUCUUACUUAAUUCAGUGUCUCUACUUCUUCAGCAAAAUAAAAAUAAAUUCUUUAUCGAAAUACACCCAACUUUUCCAUUUUUCUUAUAAAAAUGACACCACGUUAGGAUGGGAUUGUGCUUGUGUUGUGUCAUUGAUCUAUCCAUAUUUGUUUUUCCCAAAAACAAUUUCCAUGAAGGAGGAUGUUUUGCUGCUUGUUAGUGCACGCUAUUUAAGCACAAGACAUGAUUGAGAUUUAUGCAAGGUAUGUGGUAGAAUUUAUGUAAGACGACCGAUGAUUCAUUAGGAAAGCUAGACAUGAGAGUCAGUAAGUUUUACUAUGGUGAUCAACGCGUUGAAGAAAAAUUUUAGAAUUUUUAUUAUAAGUGGUGCAUACAAAAGUUGGUGAGUCGAGCUUGUACUCAAAUACUAGCUCAUGUAUUAGGAGUUGCCUUAGCCUUACGUUAUUAAUCUAGUAACUAAUAUUAGCGAUGUGAAAUAUUUUUUCUAUCAUCUUCCAUCAUAUGUGUGUAGGUCAAUCUUUUUGUUUGGUCCUUGUCUUGUGAUAAGAUAGUGUUAGUGAUUUUGAGAGAAAAUAUGAAAAACACAAACAAUGAAAAUUCCCUUUUACUUAAACUAAGACACAGAUUUUUUCACAGUGAAGUUGAUAGAAGACACUCGAAUGCGCAGGAGUGAAAUCUUGACAAAUUAAAGCGAGAACUAAGACAUGCUAGUCCUUUCUCGCGCAUUUAGUUGACAUUAUUUUGCUUUGCAAAUAAAUGGCUAAAUGCGGGCAUGGUUGAAGGCAUUUUAUCUUUCCGGAAGUGGAUGGAGAAAUAAAUAUAAUUAAAAGGGAUGCGAAUAAUAAAUGCCAGUUUUUCUUAAUAACGAAGAAUAUAUUAGAAAUAAAUUGAAAUGUAACAAAAUACUUGAAAUAAUUCAAGUGAUUGGUUUUUUCUCCGUCAAUAACGCUUGAUAGUUCCUUGUCAUGAGCUUCUUAUCUUCUGUCUUGAAGGAAGAAAUUGCAAAAGACGAAUAAAACGAUUUCCUUUACACAUUCAAUCAAUGCUGCUGCCUUCAUAUCUUUAUUAUUCUCGGAGGGAUGAUACUGUUGAGAGCCGAAACCAUUACCCAUUCUCACUCCUCUUAUGGCCAUUUCUAACCCUCUACAAUAAUUUCGAUAUUGCUGUUCUUCAGUUCUUCCACUAUUCAACAAAUGCGAAGGUAUGCGAUGGCUCCACUCAAUCAAGUUGAUUUUACAUUUGUUACAAUCUACUCCCGCCAUUGCUAGAGCCUCUAUGGACAUGUUUUAACAAGGUGAAGGUGGAGCUAAAUAAAAUUCACAAUUUUCCUGAAAGUUUACAGCUUCCAGGAAAUUCACCACCUCUAUAGAAUUGUAAUAAUAAGAAUUGUGGUCUCCGUAAAAGAAUUUAUAAGAGUUAAUAUAAAAGAUUUGUUUAGGAGAAUGAAUUUUAUACGGACUAGAAAUAUUCAUGAUUAAUUGGUUAUUCAGAUGGUUUAGAAAUCCUCUCGAUAUUAGGAAGCCAUUUAAGAUUCUGAUUAUUGUUGUUCUAAAUAUUAGUUUGCACCAACUUCCAAUUCCACAAUUACUCUAACAGCGGUUUUCACGGACUUAUUUAUGUAUCUGAAUCUUUGUAUUCAUGAAAGAAUAAUCUCUUGCAAACGCACAACUUCAAUUAUGAAUCAACUACCUAGCAACCAUUUCUUUACUUUUAAUUGCUUUGGAAAUUAAGGAUUCGUCAGCUGCCAAAUUCUGCAGUGAUUCUUUUUUUUUUUGGUACGUUGGAGCCUAGUAAAACUAGGCUAAAACAGAACGGGGAAUAGAGGUCCCAUAUAUAUCAUUACAUAACCAAUAACCAAGACCCUCAGGGGGAUUUUCAAAGACAUGAAGUCCAAGGGGUAAGGAACCAGCAAGUUUCGCCAUGGAAUCUGUAGCAAAAUUGGCUUCCCGAUAUAUAUGCUUUAUGGUAAUGAGCCAUUGUCUAUUCAUCAGUUCCUUUAUGGCAGUUAUGAGAGAAAAAUGUGCAUUAGACAUCAAGCUAGUAGAGGAAAUAAGUUGGGAAAUACAUUGGCUAUCCACCUCUGCAAUUAAAUAACGAAUGCCACGGUCCCAAGCAAUAUUAAGUCCUUGAAAAAAACCCUAAAGUUCUGCAGUAGUCACCCAUCCAAAUCCAAUGUUCAUGCCAAAGCCAAACUGCCACUUUCCGGAGCAUUCCCUCACCAAGCCCCCAGCGCUGGCUAGACCAUUCUUUAAUCGUGAUCCAUCAGUAUUUAAUUUGAAAAAAGAUUCAGGGGGAGCUUGCCAUCUAACAUCUUUGAUGAUCUUAUUAGUUUGACCGAAACUAAGAGUUGAUCGUGCAUUUUGAAUGUCUUGAACCCAAGAUUUAAUUUCAGCAACAACAUGAGUGCAUCAAGGGGAUUUUUGUGAGAAAAGAAAUUGAUUCCGCAGUGAUUCUGUUGCAUUGGAUGUCUUCAAUUUCCUUUUGCAUUCAAUUAUUUGUUGAACUAUUUAUGCACGAGUGGAGGAGGAAUUCUAGAAUACAUUUGAAAUAAUACAAUCAACCAAUGCAUGCACACCACUUGUAUGGAGAUUUUUCAAAAAUAAAUGUACACAUGUCAUAACAUUAUCUACUUGUUAUAUGACUGACAUGAUAUUUUUUAUGUAUUCUAAAUUUUUUCUGCGUGGAGACCAUGAGUGGUAACAUCCUCAUGACAAAAGAGUAUUACAAAGAGAGAAUCACUUGUCAAUUUAAAUAUUUAUUGUAUUGAAACUACUAAGUAUAUAAGCUCGGACAACCCUAAUUUCAUGAAGAGGGGUUAAAGACAAUACUAUUCUAAAAGAAAAUGGAACGAAAUCGUCCAUCCAUAGCCAUUAUUUGACUUUUAGAUUUGCCCUUCCAAAUUUUAACAAAAUGCGCAGACGAUUUUUAAUUUAUUUAUGUGAGCGAAGUACAACAAAAUUACUGAACCAAUCAGAACCAAGAUGGAAAUGAUCAUAAGCAAAAGUAAUUGGAAGGACGAAUGGAAGCAGAUAAAUUAUUCUAAUUAAGAAGGAUAUUUACUAGGAUCAUACCUUAAUCACUUUAUUAUAAAUUAAAAAUGUCCGUACAAAAACUGCCGCAAAUUAAUUAAACUAUUGGAAAAAGAAAACUUGUAGACAAAAUCUCAAUGAAUUUUAAGCCCAUUUGGCUAACAAAGACAUGCAACCAGCGCCUAAAAGAAGAGAAACAUUUGCUCCAAACUGAAGCCUUUUAUUGGUUUGCAUCUUUGGAUUCAUAAAAUCUGCAGCAAGAAGACCCACCAAGGACAUGUAUAUUAGGAUUCCGGCUGCCGCUGCAUUGAAUAUUCCUUCAACAAUAAGAGCAGUGGGGCUAUUUUCGUCAUAAACACUUGAUAUUCCAAUGCCUAAUUUUACACUAAUUUGAUCAUUUUGUAAUAUAAAAAUUUGACAAUUGAAAAACAAAUCAACUUUUUUUUUCUUAAAAGAAAACGAAUCAACUUUUAAAUUCAUUUUGAAGUAAAAAAAAAAGUUGACAGUAAAAUACUAUUAACGUAAGGGGAUUUCAGUAAAUUUUAGAACAUGAGAGAUAAAUGACUAAUUUUACAAGACAAAGGGGGUUAAUUUUCUCCUAAAAAAAAUUAGGUAUUGGUUGAUGACUUUUAAAAAACAGACUACUCUUUAUAAUUAUUUGUUUUAAUUUUCUUUUUGUUCGACCAAAACUCGCAUGGUAUUGGGAUAUACCUAAAUUUGAUGUAAAAUUAGGGAUUAGUUAAAUGAAAUAAUUUAAACACUGCAUAAAAUCUGCCUUUGUCGAUGCUAUCUCACUGUCUUAAGGCCUAACUUCUUGAAAUUUUUUCUGAAAGAUACAACAGGAUCACUUAUCCACAAGCCUAGUCAGCAACUUAGACACUAUUUUCAGCAUUAGCAUUGACAUAAGAACAAAACGUACAAUUGAGCUUUUUAAAAAACAUUGCAGUUGAUUGGAUUGUUAAUAAGUAUGGCACCAUAUGGAUGAUAAAAUUAAGCAGGAAGAAAGAAAAAAUAAAUUUUAUUAUGCAAAAAAUAAACUACAAACUAGGCACAAUAAAUAAAUAAAAAUAAAUUUUAUUAUGCAACCCAGAAUUCUCCUUUGCUGUCUGCCUCAAUGUUGUCCGGAAAUUUUUGGAGCUGAGCAAAAGGUUGUGGAGGGCACAUAGCUCUAUGGUCAUGGAGCCAAAACCUCAGAACUCGCAUUGAGAUGGAUUCAGCCACUAAGAGGAACGUCUUGUCCUUGAUUAGGGCAACUCCAUUUGGAAAUGCCAAACCUCUGUACAUGAUUGUCACCUCAUUGCUGUGUGGAUCAUACUUCAAGUAACUUCCCGCUUCUGCCUCCGUUAUCGAUUACAGAAGAAUAUUGCCUACAAGAAUAGUAAUUCGGUGUAAGCAUUGUCAAAUAUUAAUCUGGAAUUGAUGAACAAGAAUUAAGAAAAGAAAAUAUCCUUCUUUGAAAAUACAUGCUACUGUCAGUAAAAUAAACGACUCCAGUACUAGGAUCGAUAUCCAAGGCAUAUACAUGCUACUGUCAAUAAAAAAAGAAAGAAAAAUAUAAAUAAAUUAUCAAAUAAAAAAAUAUAAAUAAAUGGCACGUAAUGUUUAUUUUUCAUUUAUAAUAAAGUUUAAUAUACCAAAUGACUGGUGAGGUACCACCAUACCAGGCGGUGCAUGGAAAGAUGGGGAAUUUGGGACUUCCAGUGCGGCGAGAGACUGAGCAUGAGGGUGCUGCAGCGGCUGGGCAUCACUUAUGAGGUAGCUACUUAAUGACCUGAUCAGUUGAGUUUUGGGGAAUUUGGAUUUUGGAUCAAUUAGUUAGGGAGUUGAGUGAGUUUUGUAACUUUAAGAAAAUAUAAUUUGACUGUAAUUAUUAGUUAUAUCUUUAUUUUUUUACGAUAAGUUUUAAUAAGAGUAAAUUUACAAUUAACUAUUAUUAUUAAAAAAAAACCUUAGCCUCCUCUUACCUCCGCCCUUGGUACCUGCUAAAACCAAAUACCCAAAUUAUGAAAACGAAGAGCGAGACGAUAUGUUACUGGAUUGCUAUCAAAAUUUGAAGCUAGAACUUAGCAAUUGCCCAAAGAUAAAGAUUUGCUAAGAUUUUAGACCCACAGACUUUUUAUUACCAAUUUAUCUUCUUUCCUUUAAGAAUGAUGGUGAUUUGUAGAGCCAUGCCCUGUAUUCAAAAUAAACAAAUUUGAAGAAUAUAUCUGUUGAUUCCGGUAGGGCAGGAGUCUCAUGCACAAGUUUCUCAUCUAUUUUCUUACCAGAACAAAUUUCUAGUCAAAAUGAGGGUGUGAAAGGAAGAUAAAUAGACGAAAUUUGGCCCACCACUUCAUUCUUCCUAAAUGAAUAGCUUUUUACCCUAUUAAACGAGGAAAAAUGGAUUAGAUUCUCCCUUAAUUUGAUCUGAUUAGUGAUUACUAAAUAAAGACCACACACUUUAUUGUAGUGUGUUUCGUCAUUUAAUACAUUGAAGUUUGUAUGUGGCCCUAGUUUUAGAUCACUUAAUUGGAAAGGGACUUCCUUUUUUUUUUGAUACAUUGGAGUCUAGUAAAACUAGGCUAAAACAAAACAGGGAAUAGAGGUUCCAUAUAUAUCAUUACAUAACUAAUAACCAAGACCCUUGGAGGGGUUUUCAAAGACAUGAAAUCUAAGGGGUAAGGAACCAGCAAGUUUCGCCAUGGAAUCUGCAGCAAAAUUGGCUUCCCAAUAUAUAUACUUUAUAGUAAUGAGCUAUUGUCUAUUUAUCAGUUCCUUUACGGCAGUUAUUGUUAUAAGUGAAUAUGAAAUAGUUCAUUCAAAGCAAGGAUAAAUGGAUGAAAGUACUACUAAUUUUAUUCACAAUGAGGUUGCCUUUUAUAGGCGUUACAUGAACAAACUUAACGAAAUAAUAGCAGCCAUUAUUCAGCAAAUAUUGCAGCCACUUUCCAGUAACCCUAGCCUAAAGACUAGGUAAACACAAUCUUGCAAAUAACAUUACCAACAAACUUCCUAAAGACUAGGACCAUAAAAGCAACUUAUUGACACAAGGAAAUUCCAACAAUCCCUCCCUUAAACUAAAUGUUAUUAACAUUCAGUUUAAACAUUCUGCAGAAUCUUCCUCAAAUUGUAAUUUACAAACUCCAAGUGACUUUCUCAACUUCAAAAAACUAGCCAAUUUGAGGGGUUUAGUAAAGAUGUCAUCAACUUGGUCUUCACUCCUGCAAUAAACAAGAUCAAUGACUUCAUUUUUUGUCAAGUCUCGCAAGAAAUGGUAUCUCACAUCUAUGUGCUUGCAUCUUCCAUGUAGAACCGGAUUCUUUGAAAGUUUAAUUGUUGAACUAUUAUCACAGAAGAUUUGUGUUGACUCUGGUUGCUUAAACUGAAGUUCAUGAAGAAUAUUUCUCAAUCAAAGUGCUUGACAUGCACAAGAAGCUGCUGCAACAAACUCAGCCUCAGUUGUUGACAAAGUAACUAUCGGUUGCUUCUUAGAUGACCAUGAAAUAGCUGCUGAACCAAACAUAAAUACAUAUCCAGAUGUGCUUCUUCUGUCAUCCAAAUCUCCAGCAUAAUCACUGUCUGCAAAGCCAUACAAAUAUGAUUUUUUACCCUUUUUGUAGAACAACCCAAAUUCAGCAGUACUACGCAAGUAUCGAAGAAUUCUCUUUGCAGCUAAAAGAUGAUCCUCUCUUGGACGCUCCAUAUAUAUGCUGAUGGCACUAACUGCAUGCAUUAUAUCAAGUCGAGUUGCCAUUAAGUACAUCAAGCUUCCAGCAAUAUGUUUGUAAAGGGUACUAUCAACUAUUCUUUCUACAAGAUCCUUAACAAGCUUAAAUCCUUUUUCAAUUGGAGUAGUGACAGAGUUGCAGUUCUUCAUUUGAAAUCUUUCUAAGAUCUCUUCCACAUAUUUCUUUUGACAAAUAAAAUUUCCAGCAUCAGAUUGUAUGACUUCUAAGCCAAGAAAAUAAUGCAGCAAACCAAGAUCAGUCAUAUCAAAUUCAAGCAUAAUGGAUUCCUUGAAUUUCUCAAACAUUACUAUGUCAUUUCUCGUGUAAAUCAAAUCAUCUACAUAUAAGCAUACCAUAAGCAUUUUCCCAUCAUCUCCAAUUUUUAUGUACAGAGUAUGCUCAUAUGGGCAUUUUCGAAAACCUUCCUUCAAGAAAUAAGCAUCUAUAUGACUAUACCAAGCUCGGGGUGCUUGUUUUAGUCCACAUAGAGCUUUUUUCAAUUUAUAGACUUUAUGCUCACUGCCUAAUUUCACAUAUCCAGGAGGCUGUUCGAUAAAUACCUCUUCUUGUAGCUCCCCAUGCAAGAAUGCUGAUUUCACGUCUAGUUGAAAAACAUGCCAUGAAUUUUGUGCUGCAAGAGCAAUAAUCAAUCUGAUCGUUUCAAGUCUUGCAACGGGAGCAAAUACUUCCUUAUAAUCCACGCCAAACUCUUGCUUGUAGCCUUUGGCGACUAGGCGUGCCUUGUAUUUAUCAAUUUCACCAUUUUCCUUCAAUUUUGUCUUGUAAACCCACUUGACUCCUAUUGUCCUCUGCCCCAUUGGAAGUUCAGUCAACUCCCAAGUAUUAUUUUUUUCAAUGGCUGCAAUUUCUUCGUCUAUGGCUUUUAGCCAUUUUUGUUCUUUGACAGCUUCUUUAAAAGUUGUAGGAUCACAUUCUGAAAACAAGGCAAAGUGUAUGAGUGGAUUCUCAAGAGUGUUAAAUCCUGUUACCUCAUAAUCUAACAUCCAUGCAGGCCUUCUUUUAUCACGUUGAGAACGUGAAUCUGUAGCUUCAACUUGUUCAUCAAGUUUAUUUGUUGCUGGUGGAGUUUCUGCUGAGACUCUAUUUUGCGGCAGGUCAGGAGCAGAGACUGUUGAAGGCUGAAGUUGCUGUGAAUUUUCUUCAAUUUCACCAUCGAAAUCUGCUGGAAUUUACUGCCCAACAGAACUGCAUCUCCACAUCCAUGUCUUCUCUUCAUAAAAAAUGACAUCACGACUAAUGACAAUUUUCUUGAUGAUGGGAUCAUAUAAUUUGUAGGCCUUUGAAUGAUCACUAACACCAAGAAAAAUGCACUUUACACCUUUGUGAUCUAAUUUUCUUCUUUUCUCAUCUGGUACGUGGACAUAUGCUAUACAUCCAAAUACCCGAAAGUGAUCUACUGCCGGCUUACAUCCACUCCAUGCUUCUUCAGGAGUUAUAUUUUGAACAGCUAUUGUGGGGCUUCUGUUCAAAAUAAAAAAACACUCCAAACAAUUGCUUCAGGCCAAAAACUUUUGGGAAGACCACUCCUCUGCAGAAGGCUUCGUACCAUAUUAAGAAUUGUAUGAUUUUUCCUCUUGCAUACACCAUUUUGCUGAGGUGUGUAGGCUGCUGUCAAUUGUCUUCUAAUUCCAUGAUUUUCACAAAAGCUUCCAAAUUCUUGAGAGUUGAACUCUCCACCAGGAUCAGUACGAAUAUUUUAAUUUGGUUGUCAACUUCUCUUUCAACUAGUGCUUUAAACAUUUGAAAGGCUGUGAAAGCUUCCGAAUUUUCUUGCAAGAAAUAAACCCAGGUUUUUCGACUAAAAUCAUCAAUAAAUGAGAUAAAAUAUCGUUUACCUCCAUUUGAUGUUGGCUUGAUUGGCCCACAUAAGUCAGAAUGCACUAGCUCCAACACUUUCUUUGCCCUCCGGGAUUUUCCUUUUGGAAAAUUAUCUCGAUGUUGCUUACUGACAAUACACUCUUCGCAAAGCUGUGAAGGUUGCUCAAAUUGUGGAAGGCCUACCACCAUAUUUUUCUGCUGCAAGGUCUUCAAUCCACCAAAACUAAGAUGCCCGUAACGAAAGUGCCAUAACCAUGCUGUAUCUUUGAAAUUUGCAGCAAAACAUGAGUGUGCAGUAUGGUGAAGAUACAAUGGAAACAUUCUGUUUGCCGUCAUUUUCACUUGAGCAAUUAAGCCUAAUUUUUCAUCAUGGAUUCGGCAAACUGCUUCCUUGAUAGAGAUCUCAUAGCCCUUUUCUUGUAACAGGCCAACACUGAGAAGGUUAGUUUUCAGUUCAGGAACGAAUAGAACAUUUGAGAUAGAAUGAGAACUUUCCUUGGUUUGGAUUGCAACCCUUCCUUUCCCUAUGACAGAAACUGUGGAGUCAUCACCAAAUUUUACAAUAUUUUGAAAAGUCUCAUCCAAGUCAGAAAAAGCAGAUUUAUCCCCACACAUAUGAUUGCUGCAACCGGUAUCUAAGUACCAUAGAUUUUGGUGACUUUCCUCCUUUGUAUGACAUGCCAUAAGAAGGGAAAUUUCUUCUUCCUCCUUUUCUGCAAAGUUAUAUUUCUCGCCACGAUUCUUAUUUAAAUUAGUACGGCACUCGGAGCGGUAAUGACCGUACUUCUAACAACGUAAGCAUUUAACAUUCGAUUUGUCUUUAGACUUUGGUUUAUGUCCUGUCGAAUUCUGACCAUCACAAUCCUUUCCUUUUCCUUGAGAAUCAUCAACCUUUUCUUCUGAUCUGUUCUGCCCAUUCUUGCCUUUCCAACCUCGUUUACCCCCUCCAGUUGGUUUGAGAUUUGCUGCUGCCUGUAAUGCCUGUUCUUCCUUAUCCUAUCGGAUUACUUUCUGCUCAUGGACUAGCAAAGUUCUUUCCAAUUCAUCAAUUGAAAGUGUGUCAAUAUCCCUUGAUUCCUCAAUCGCACAAACAAUAUAGUUAAAUUUUGCCGUUAAAGAUCAAAGAAUCUUCUCAAUUAUGAUAACAUCCUCGAGCUGCUCGCCAUGAAUUCGUCUCUUAUUUGCGAUUGCCAUUGUCCUUGCAAAGUAUGCUGAGACCGACUCUCCCAUCUUCAUUCGUAGAGAUUCAAAUUCAGCUCGAAGUGUCUGGAGGUGUACCCGUUUUGCCCUUGUUGUCCCUUGGUACUUCUUUUUCAAGGAAUCCCAAAUUUGUUUGGAGGAGUCUUUGUUAAGAAUUGUUUCCAAGAUUGAGCGAUCAAUAGCUUGGAACAAGUAAUUCUUUGCCUUGAGAUCCUUUAAUCGUUGCCCUUCAAGCUCUAUUUUCUGAGCAUCCGUCAAAACAACACCGGCUGGUGGUUCAGUUAUUCCAAUUGAAACAACCUGCAAAUACUCCUUGGACCUUAAGAAAUUCUCCAUCAACAUGCUCUAAUGGUCAUAGUGACCAUCAAAGCGGGGAAUUACAGGUUGAACAAAAUUCUCAGAAGCCAUGAAUUUCUGCUGCUGCAACACGAGUGAAAAAAGAGCCAAGUAAGCUGCUGUUACUAACUCUGUCAAUUCCACUUUUCUAAUUCAAGCUCUGAUACCACUGUUAUAAGUGAAUAUGAAAUAGUUCACUCAAAGAAGGAUAAAUGGAUGAAAGUACUACUAAUUUUAUUCACAAUGAGGUUGCCUUUUAUAGGCGUUACAUGAACAAACUUAACGAAAUAAUAGCAGCCAUUAUUCAGCAAAUAUUGUAGCCACUUUCCAGUAACUCUAGCCUAAAGACUAGGUAAACACAAUCUUGCAAAUAACAUUACCAACAAACUUCCUAAAGACUAGGACCAUAAAAGCAACUUAUUGACACAAGGAAAUUCCAACAGUUAUGAGAGAAAAAAUGUGCAUUAGGCAUCAAGCUAGUAGAGGAAAUAAGUUGGGAAACACAUUGACUAUCCACCUCUGCAAUUAAAUAACGAAUGCCACGGUCCCAAGCAAUAUUAAGUCCUUGAAAAAGACCCCAAAGUUCUGCAGUAGUCACCGAUCCAAAUCCAAUGUUUAUGCCAAAGCCAAACUGCCACUUUCCAGAGCAAUCCCACACCAAGGCCCCAGCGCUGGCUAGACCAUUCUUUAAUCGUGAUCCAUCAGUAUUUAAUUUGAAAAAAGAUUCAAGGGGAGCUUGCCAUCUAACGUCUUUGAUAAUCUUAUUACUCUAACCGAAACUAAGAGUUGAUCGUGCAUUUUGAAUGUACUGAGCCUAAGAUUUAAUUUCAGCAACAACAUGAGUGCAGCAAGGGGAUUUUUGUGAGAAAAGAAAUUGAUUACGCCAAAACCAAAUUUUCUAGAUAGCCGCUCCAAAUAAACAUGCCCAUUCAUCCCCCACUUCAUUGAUACCAGUCGUUCCCAAGUUGAAACAGAGCCAAUCACGAAAAUUAAAGGAGAAAAAAUGAUGUCUGAAGUUGACCGGAAUUAAACAAUUCCAUAUUCUCUUUGCAACAAAACAGUCCCUAAGUGCAUGCAUCGCGUUUUCUCUCUCAUGGCCACAUCUUUCAGUAUUCAUUUUAUCAAGAAUAUGCCUCUUAAAAAGCUCCUCUCUAGUUUUAAUUUUUCCAUGCAUCACCAACCAUAAAAAAAUUUUAACUCGUUGGGGCCGGGAAAGGGACUUCCUUAAUUAUUUUUCAAAAGCACAUCCUAUAAAACUCCAACAGAUGGAGUCCAAGUUCUAGAAGAGAUGAACAAAUGAUGUCAAUUAAAUGGCAAUAGCUCGCCAAAGAAGACAGAGAAACAAGUUAGGAGAGAUUCUAGAGUGUACCAAAAGUAUUACAUUUAAUAUAUAUAUAUAUAUAUAUAUUUUAUGUGUGUAUUUAUUUUAAAAAAUUAUUAUGUAAUUAAUUAUUAUAUUUAAUUAAACUAUACAUAUCAUAUAUGUAUUAGUUAUAUGUAGCACUUAUAUUAUACUCUAGAAUUUCUCACAAGAUAAUAUGUCAAUAUACCACAAACACAAAGUUUGAAUCCUGUGAAAUAUGUUUAAAAUUGACUCUUGCAGAAAUUAUUAUGCGGUGGUGAAAUGAUUAUGAUAAAUAAUAUAUUAACACAUGUCAAUAUAUAAUUAUGCUACAUCAAUGAGGGUACCAUUGGUUUCACAUUUUUAUUUUACGUCUUAACUUUUGUAUUGACAAUAUUAGUUUUGUAUUUUAUACACAUAUAUAUAACUAGUAAGUUAUUUUUUGCAAUCAAUAAAUAUCUAAUAACUCAAUACUUUUAUAUUUAUGCUCAUAAAAUUUUUACUUUUUAAAUAAAUAUUAAAAUAUCUUAAAAAUAAUAAAUUAUAUUUUUUAACACUAAUUAAAACAAAUAAUUUUCACAUUUAAUCUUGUUUUAGUUAAUAACAUGGACCAUUCGCUCACCACUUGGCAUAACUUUGUAACCUAGGUCCUGUUUGGAAUCGAAGUAUUAUACCUUUUAAGUUACAACUGCCGUAAAAAAGUUGUAAUUAUAAAAAAAAAAUUAAUAGCUGUGAACUUAAAGAUUGCUUACUAAACUUUAGGUAUUUAUUUAUUUAAUUAAUUGUCUAAAAUUUACUUGUUAAUGUUAUUGACAAUACGUAUGUAUUGAUUAAAAAGAUGAAGUAAGGUAUUGAUCUUAUUGAUCAACAGAAAUAUUUUAUACUAGAUUGACAUAUUUGUGUAUUUAUUUUAAUGUUAAAACUUUAAUUUCUCAUUUGUACUGAUAAAAUUUAGAAAUGGGUAUUCUAUGUAGAUUUUUAAGCUCCUAUUAUAAAUUUAUAGUUUGACUUAUAUAAUUUAAUUUAUUUUUUGUGUUUUAAAAGUAUUGUUUUAAUAUUUGUGUAGUAAAAACCCAUUGCAGGUUACGCGAGGAUUUAGUAAUUGUUAAAACCUACGGCAGUUGAUUUUUUUUUUUAAAUAAAAAACCCAUAGCGAGUUAAGAAUUUAUUGAUUUAAUUACUUUUUACAAGUGCAUGUUUGAUAAUGAUAAAAUCACUGCACUGAAAGAAAUUCUAUGAAGAAUAUAAUUAUUGGUCUGUAUUUUUAAUGAAAUUUACAGAAUUAUUUAUACAAAAUAAAGACAAAGUAACUGUUGAAAGGCUUAAUAAUAUUAAAGGAGAAUAAGUGAAUACUUCCUAAACUAUUGGACAAUAUCUUUAUAAAAUAGGAAUGAAAUAUUCCUACAUGAUAUUGACAUUCAUGUGCAAAAAUCGUGCCGGAGAUAUUUCUUGACAAAUAACUUUGACGGGAGCAAGUCGAGUGGAGUGAUAAGCCGGACAUUCUUGACUUGACCGUUAAUGACUAGCUAAACAGCAUAAAUAAAUGUAUAACGAUUCUUAUAUAAAAAGCCACCACCCCAAGCCAAAAGAAAAAAAAAAAUUGUGCUGAAUACAACAAUAUAAUUUCUUCAGUUUUUACUUGGAAACAAGAGAGAUGAAUAUGAAGAAGCAGAAGCAGAAGCCAAAAGCUAUUGUAGUUGGAGGAAGCAUUGCUGGGGAAUCAUGCGCAAAAGCACUUAUUUCAGCAGGAUGGGAUGUUGUUGUGAUUGAGAAAACUCGUGGAUCCCCAACCCAAAACCCAACCGGUGCUGGCCUUGGACUCGAUCCAUUGGCUCAGAAAAUUGUUCAGUCAUGGCUCCAUGAACCUGAACUUCUUUACAACAACACUUUACCUAUCACCAUUACUGAGGUAUAUAAUAUAAUAUAUUUAAUUUCUUUUUUCCCAGUAGAAUCCAGUAGUGCUUUGAAAUAUUUUUUUUUUUGGUUUUAACCACGAGGUAUCCUGGGGAGGGCCCCAACUGUGGGAGGCACCUUUAAGCCCGUACCACAACCCACACUCGAACUGGGAGGCACAGGUUCCCCCAACAAAAUUGACUUUCCUGCGACACGUGUAUACUUUGAAUUAUACUGAUCUCUUAAAGAUAUUAGUUGCACACUGUGUAUAUACAAUGGUGUAUGGUUAAGAUUUGAAAAAAGUAUAUUUUGUUCUGCACAAAAUACAAUUUAGAAUGGAAUCUCAUUGUGAAAAAAAUAUCUAUAUAUGUUGAAUAGAUAAAAUUUCAAUUUGUGUUUAAUUGCAGUACCUAGCAACAGACGGGGAAAAGAAGAUCAGCUGGGUAAUAGGAAGAGAAGAAGGCGCUAAGUUUCUGAAUGCAUAUUGGGCUGAUCUUCAUGGCCUUAUAUACAAUACUCUGCCACCUGAAAUAUUUUUAUGGGGUCACCAAUACCUCUCUUUCUGUAUUUCUGAAGACAAAUUAACUGUCAAAGUUAGAGCUAAGGAUCUUCAGACUGCUGAAAUAAUCGAGAUAGUAGGAGAUUUGCUCGUUGGAGCAGAUGGGAUCCUCUCAUCAAUUGGUCGGAGCAUUCUACCUGACUUCAAAUUGAGGUUUGUGCUUGCUUGUGAAUAUCAAUAAAAGUAAUUAAUUUUUGAGUAUUUUGUUUCUUAAAUUUCAAUGUGUUUUUAAUAGGUACGCAGGAUACUGUGCGUGGAGAGGUGUUUUUAAUUUUUCAGAAAGCAAUUCAGAAACCAUCUUAGGCUUUCGAAAAUCGUAUCCUGAUAUUGGGAAAUGCCUUUACAUUAAUAUUGGUUCAGGAUCUCACAUCAUAGUCACUGAGCUUAAGAAAGAGAAGCUCAAUUGGGUUUGGUAUGUCAAUCAACCUGAGCCCGAGCUCAAGGUAACCGCUUACUUUUGUUUCAUCUUUUUAUUUUGUUUUCCGGGGUUUUGGGUUGAGUGCUAAAAUCUAAUUUUUGCAAACGAUCAACAAAGCUCAGACCAUCACUGGAUCCAAUUUUUUUUUUUUAAUUUUAAUUUUCCGGUUUAUCAAUGCAGUAUGACGUGACAUUGGGAAACAAAUUAUUUUAUUCUCUGCAGGGAAAUACAACUUCUGUGAAAGUAAGCAGUGACAUGAUCGAGGAGUUGCACCAAAGAGCAGAGCAGGUUUGGUUACCUGAAUUGUCAAGAAUGAUCAAAGAAACAAAGGAUCCUUUCCUUAAUGCUAUAUAUGAUCGGGAUCCUUUGGAGAAAAUCUUCUGGGACAGAGUGGUGUUAACAGGAGAUGCAGCUCACCCGACAACUCCACACUCUGCCAGAAGCACAAACAUGGCGAUAAUAGAUGCAGCAGUGUUAGGAAAAUGCCUCGAGAAGUGGGGGCCGGAUCAUUUAUACUCUGCUCUGGAAGAAUAUGAAUCCAUUAGGAAGCCUGUAACUUCAGCACAAGUUCUAUAUGCGCGACGAUUGGGUCAAAUGAAACAGGGGUUAAGUAUUCCUGGAAGGGAGCGGCCUUUUGAUCCAAAGACAGCAAGUCUAGAGGACUCGGAAUUCAUCGUUAACAUAAAAGUGCCUCUUUUCGACGUUGUUCCUCCGAUUCUUGAUUCAAUUUUUCGUUCUGCUUGAUAACUUCAAAGGACACGGUUGGUCUGUUCAUUAUGCUAACUAUAGCUGCCUAUAAAUAAGAGGGUUGACCUCAAUUGUGUGAGUGAAAGAACUGCUAUACUUAUGUUCCUUCCUGUAAUAACGAAAGCCUCUUAAUUCAGUGUCUCUACUUCUUCAGCAAAAUAAAAAUAAAUUCUUGAUCGAAAUACACCCAACUUUUCUAUUUUUCUUAUAAAAAUGACACCACGAUAGGAUGGGAUUGUCCUUGUGUUGUGUCAUUGAUCUAUCCAUAUUUGUUUUUCCCAAAAACAAUUUCCAUGAAGGAGGAUGUUUUGCUGCUUGUUAGUGCACGCUAUUUAAGCACAAGACAUGAUUGAGAUUUAUGCAAGGUAUGUGGUAGAAUUUAUGUAAGACGACCGAUGAUUCAUAAGGAAAGCUAAACAUGAGGGCUAAUAACUUUUACUAUGGUGAUCAACGCGUUGAAGAAAAUUUUUAGAAUUUUUAUUAUAAGUGGUGCAUACAAAAGUUGGUGAGUCGAACUUGUACUCAAAUACUAGCUCAUGUAUUAGGAGUUGCCUUAGGCUUACGUUAUUAAUCUAGUAACUAAUAUUAGCGAUAUGAAACAUUUUUUCUAUCAUCUUCCAUCACAUGUGUGUAGGUCAAUAUUUUUGUUUGGUCCUUGUCUAGUGAUAAGAUAAUGUGAGUGAUUUUGAGAGAAAAUAUGAAAAACACAAACUAUGAAAAUUCCCUUUUACUUAAACUAUGACAGAUUUGUUUACACUGAAGUUGAUAGAAGACAAUCGAAUGCGCAGGAGUGAAAUCUUGACAAAUUAAAGCGAGAACUAAGACAUGCUAGUCCUUUCUCGCGCAUUUAGUUGGCAUUAUUUUGCGUUGCAAAUAAAUGCGGGCACGGUUGAAGGCAUUUUAUCUUUCCGGAAGUGGAUGGAGAAAUAAAUAUAAUUAAAAGGGAUGCGAAUAAUAAAUGCAAUUUUUUCUUAAUAACGAAGAAUAUAUUAGAAAUAAAUUGAAAUGUAACAAAAUACUUGAAAUAAUUCAAUUGAUGGGUUUUUUCUUUGUCAAUAACGCCCGAUAGUUCCUUGUCAUGAGCUUCUUAUCUUCUGUCUUGAAGGAAGAAAUUACGAAAGACAAAUAAAACGAUUUCCUUUACACAUUCAAUCAAUGCUGCUCAUCCAUAAGUUUCCCAUUUAAUAAUAAUAAUAAUACAAUACAGAUAGCUCAACAGCACCAACCAAAACUUCACCACCAGUCACGGUGAAAUGUGAGAUGCAUGCGCUGAUUUUUAUUUUUAUUUUAAUUUUUAUAAUUACUGAUCGAAUAACAUUCUUUUGUUUAAUUAUUUGUUUUGAAUAAACUAGAGAAUGACAUUUAAAAUAUCAAAUAUUAAAUUUAAUGAUUUGUUGAGAGUGGUAAGAGUAUCUUCGCAUAAAAACUAAAAGUUAGUUGGUUAGCUAGUUAUAAUAGAAAAAAAUUAAGGGACCAAUUUGAAAUAUUUGAGCUAGUUAUAUAAAUUUCCCAUAGAUUUUCACGUACCGUUAGUUUUAAGAAUUCAACUUUGACAUGAUUAUGAAUUCCAAAAAUUGAUUAAGAAGAAAGACAGAAACUUUAGCAAUGAUGCUGAAUCAAUCAUUCAUUUUAUUUAAAUUAUGACUGGUAAUGUUUGGGGUUGACGACGCCUCACCAACUGUCAGGCAAUUAUCGUUUCCAAAAGUUUUCCAGAUUCAGCCUGAAAAUUUAACGGGUGUAAAAAAAUAAUUGAGGAUGAGUCUUUCUUUGUUAUUAUAUCAAUUGUUUUAUAAUUUUAAGAAGAUGAAUCAGCAUUGUAAGCCAUCAUUUUCAUUUAUAAUAAAGUUAAUAUACAAAAUGACCGGUGAGGUACCACCAUACCGGGCGGUGCAUGGAAAGAUGGGGAAUUUGGGACUUCCAGUGCGGCGAGAGACUGAGCAUGAGGGUGCUGCAGCGGCUGGGCAUCACUUAUGAGGUGGCUACUUAAUGACCUGAUCAGUUGAGUUUUGGAGAAUUUGGAUUUUGGAUCAAUUAGUUAGGGAGUUGAGUGAGUUUUGUAACUUUAAGAAAAUAGAAUUUGACUGUAAUUAUUAGUUAUAUCUUUAUUUUUUUACGAUAAGUUUUAAUAAGAGUAAAUUUACAAUUAACUAUUAUUAUUUUUUUAAAAAAAAAACCUUAGCCUCCUCUUACCUCCGCCCUUGGUACCUGCUAAAACCAAAUACCCAAAUUAUGAAAACGAAGAGCGAGACGAUAUGUUACUGGAUUGUUAUCAAAAUUUGAAGCUAGAACUUAGCAAUUGCCCAAAGAUAAAGAUUUGCUAAGAUUUUAAGACCCACAGACUUUUUAGUACCAAUUUAUCUUCGUUCCUUCAAGAAUGAUGGUGAUUUGUAGAGCCAUGCCCUGUAUUCAAAAUAAACAAAUUUGAAGAAUAUAUCUGUUGAUUCUGGUAGGGCAGGAGUCUCAUGCACAAGUUUCUCAUCUAUUUUCUUACCAGAACAAAUUUCUAGUCAAAAUGAGGGCGUGAAAGGAAGAUAAAUAGACGAAAUUUGGCCCACCACUUCCUAAAUGAAUAGCUUUUUACCGUAUUAAACGAGGAAAAAUGGAUUAGAUUCUCCCUUAAUUUGAUCUGAUUAGUGAUUACUAAAUAAAGACCACAGACUUUAUUGUAGUGUGUUUCGUCAUUUAAUACAUUGAAGUUUGUAUGUGGCCCCAGUUUUAGAUCACUUAAUUGGAAAGGCACUUCCUUAAUUAUUUUUCAAAAGCACAUCCUAUAAGACUCCAACAGAUGGAGUCCAAGUUCUAGAAUAGAUGAAUAAAUGAUGUCAAUUAAAUGGCAAUAGCCCACCAAAGAAGACAAAGAAAACAAGUUAGGAGAGAUUUUACGGUAUACCAAAAGUACUACACUUAAUUAAUACAUAUACGCUAUAUGUGUAUUUAUUUUUAAAAAAUUAUCAUGUAAUUAAUAGUUAUAUUUAAUUAAACUAUACAUAUCAUACAUGUAUUAGUUAUAUGUAGCACCUAUAUUAUACUCUAGAAUUUCUCACAAGAUAAUAUGUCAAUAUACCACAAACACAAAGUUUGAAUCCUGUGAAAUAUGUUUAAAAUUGACUCUUGUAGAAAUUAUUAUGUGGUGGUGAAAUGAUUAUGAUAAAUAAUAUAUUAACACAUGUCAAUAUAUAAUUAUGCUACAUCAAUGAGGGUACCAUUGGUUUCACAUUUUUAUUUUACGUCUUAACUUUUGUAUUGACAAUAUUAGUUUUGUAUUUUAUACACAUAUAUAUAACUAGUAAGUUAUUUUUUGCAAUCAAUAAAUAUCUAAUAACUCAAUACUUUUAUAUUUAUGCUCAUAAAAUUUUUACUUUUUAAAUAAAUAUUAAAAUAUCUUAAAAAUAAUAAGUUAUAUUUUUUUAACACUAAUUAAAACAAAUAAUUUUCACAUUUAAUCUUGUUUUAGUUAAUAACAUGGACCAUUCGCUCACCACUUGGCAUAACUUUGUAACCUAGGUCCUGUUUGGAAUCGAAGUAUUAUACCUUUUAAGUUACAACUGUCGUAAAAAUUUUGUAAUUAUAAAACAAAAAAUUAAUAGCUGUGAACUUAAUGAUUGCUUACUAAACUUUAGGUAUUUAUUUAUUUAAUUAAUUGUCUAAAAUUUACUUGUUAAUGUUAUUGACAAUACUUAUGUAUUGAUUAAAAAGAUGAAGUAAGGUAUUGAUCUUAUUGAUCAACAGAAAUAUUUUAUACUAGAUUGACAUAUUUGUGUAUUUAUUUUAAUGUUAAAACUUUAAUUUCUCAUUUAUACUGAUAAAAUUUAGAAAUGGGUAUUAUAUGUAGAUUUUUAAGCUCCUAUUAUAAAUUUAUAGUUCGACUUAUAUAAUUUAAUUUAUUUUUUGUGUUUUUAAAAGUAUUGUUUUAAUAUUUGGGAAGUAAAAAUCCAUUGCAGGUUACGCGAGGAUUUAGAAACCUACAGCAGGUGAAUUUUUUUUAAAAAUAAAAAACCCAUAGCGAGUUAAGAAUUUACUGAUUUAAUUACUUUUUACAAGUGCAUGUUUGAUAAUGAUAAAAUCACUGCACUGAAAGAAUUUCUAUGAAGAAUAUAAGUCUUGUUCUGUAUUUUUAAUGAAAUUUACAGAAUUAUUUAUACAAAAUAAAGACAAAGUAGCCGUUGAAAGGCUUAAUAAUAUUAAAGGAGAAUAAGUGAAUACUUCCUAAACUAUUGCACAAUAUCUUUAUACAAUAGGAAUGAAAUAUUCGUACAUGAUAUUGACAUUCAAGUGCAAAAAUCGUGCCGGAGAUAUUCCUUGACAAAUAACUUUGAUGUGAGCAAGUCGUGUCACGUGUGGAGUGAUUAACCCGACUUGACCGUUAAUGACUUUCCUUUUGGUAAUCUUGGUCAGCUUUCUUAACAAGUGGUACCCAUAACCCAUCCAUACUGCUAGGCUAGGUAAACAGCAUAAAUAAAUGUAUAACGAUUCUUAUAUAAAAAGCCACCACCCCAAGCCAAAAGAAAAAAAAAAUUGUGCUGAAUACAACAAUAUAAUUUCUUCAGUUAUAUUUCCUUGGAAACAAGAGAGAUGAAUAUGAAGAAGCAGAAGCCAAAAGCUAUUGUAGUUGGAGGAAGCAUUGCUGGGGAAUCAUGCGCAAAAGCACUUGUUUCAGCAGGCUGGGAUGUUGUUGUGAUUGAGAAAACUCGUGGACCCCCAACCCAAAACCCAACCGGUGCUGGCCUUGGACUCGAUCCAUUGGCUCAGAAAAUUGUUCAGUCAUGGCUCCAUGAACCUGAACUUCUUUACAACAACACUUUACCUGUCACCAUUACUGAGGUAUAUAAUAUAAUAUAUUUAAUUUUUUUUUUCCCAGCAGAAUCCAGUAGUGCUUUGAAUUAUACUGAUCUCUUAAAGAUAUUAGUUGCACACGUGUAUAUACAAUGGUGUAUGGUUAAGAUUUGAUAAAAGUAUAUUUUGCUCUGCACAAAGUACAAUUUAGAAUGGAAUCUCAUUGGGAAAAAAAUGUAUAUAUGUUGAAUAGAUAAAAUUUCAAUUUGUAUUUAAUUGCAGAACCUAGCAACAGAUGGGGAAAAGAAGAUCAGCUGGGUAAUAGGAAGAGAAGAAGGCGCUAAAUAUCUGACUGCAUAUUGGGCUGAUCUUCAUGGCCUUAUAUACAAUACUCUGCCACCUGAAAUAUUUUUAUGGGGUCACCAGUACCUCUCUUUCUGUAUUUCUGAGGACAAAUUAACUGUCAAAGUUAGAGCUAAGGAUCUUGAGACUGAUGAAAUAAUCGAGAUAGUAGGAGAUUUGCUCGUCGGAGCAGAUGGGAUCCUCUCAUCAAUUGGUCGGAGCAUUCUACCUGACUUCAAAUUGAGGUUUGUGCUUGCUUGUGAAUAUCAAUAAAAGUAAUUAAUUUUUGAGUAUUUUGUUUCAUAAAUUUCAAUGUGUUUUUAAUAGGUACACAGGAUACUGUGCGUGGAGAGGUGUUUUUAAUUUUUCAGAAAACGAUUCAGAAACCAUCUUAGGCAUUCGAAAAUCGUAUCCUGAUAUUGGGAAAUGCCUUUACACGAAUAUUGGUUCAGGAUCUCACAUCAUAGUCACUGAGCUUAAGAAAGAGAAGUUCAAUUGGGUUUGGUAUGUCAAUCAACCUGAGCCCGAGCUCAAGGUAACUGCUUACUUUUGUUUCAUCUUUUUAUUUUGUUUCCGGGGUUUUGGGUUGAGUGCUAAAAUCUAAUUUUUGCAAACGAUCAACACAGCUCAGACCAUCACUGGAUCCAUUUUUUUUUUAAUUUUAAUUUUCCGGUUUACCAAUGCAGUAUGACGUGACAUUGGGAAACAAAUUAUUUUAUUCUCUGCAGGGAAAUACAACUUCUGUGAAAGUAAGCAGUGACAUGAUCGAGGAGUUGCACCAAAGAGCAGAGCAGGUUUGGUUACCUGAAUUGUCAAGAAUGAUCAAAGAAACAAAGGAUCCUUUCCUUAAUGCUAUAUAUGAUUGCGAUCCUUUGGAGAAAAUCAUCUGGGACAGAGUGGUGCUAACAGGAGAUGCAGCUCACCCGACAACUCCACACUCUGCCAGAAGUACAAACAUGGCGAUAAUAGAUGCAGCAGUGUUAGGAAAAUGCCUCGAGAAGUGGGGGCCGGAUCAUUUGUACUCUGCUCUGGAAGAAUAUCAAUCCAUUAGGAAACCUGUAACUUCAGCACAAGUUCUACAUUCGCGACGAUUGGGUCAAAUGAAACAAGGGUUAAGUAUUCCUGGAAGGGAGCGGCCUUUUGAUCCAAGGACAGCAAGUCUAGAGGACUCGGAAUUCAUCGUUGUGCCUCCUUUCGACGUUGUUCCUCCGAUUCUUGAUUCAAUUUUUCGUUCUGCUUGAUAACUUCAAAGGACACGGCUUGGUUUGUUCAUUAUGCUAACUAUAGCUGCCUAUAAAUAAGAGGGUUGACCUCAAUUGUGUGAGUAAAAGAACUGCUAUACUUAUGUUCCUUCCUGUAAUAACGAAAGCCUCUUACUUAAUUCAGUGUCUCUACUUCUUCAGCAAAAUAAAAAUAAAUUCUUGAUCGAACUAAACCCAACUUUUCCAAUUUUCUUAUAAAAAUGACACCACGAUAGGAUGGGAUUGUCCUUGUGUUGUGUCAUUGAUCUAUCCAUAUUUGUUUUUCCCAAAAACAAUUUCCUUGAAGGAGGAUGUUUUGCUGCUUGUUAGUGCACGCUAUUUAAGCACAAGACAUGAUUGAGAUUUAUGCAAGGUAUGUGGUAGAAUUUAUGUAAGACGACCGAUGAUUCAUAAGGAAAGCUAAACAUGAGAGUUAGUAACUUGUACUAUGGUGAUCAACGCGUUGAAGAAAAAUUUUAGAAUUUUUAUUAUAAGUGGUGCAUACAAAAGUUGGUGAGUCGAACUUGUACUCAAACACUAGCUCAUGCAUUAGGAGUUGCCUUAGGCUUACGUUAUUAAUCUAGUAACUAAUAUUAGUGAUAUGAAAUAUUUUUUCUAUCAUCUUCCAUCACAUGUGUGUAGUAAAACAAUAAAACUCUGGAGGACGAUUUGUAAUCCUCAGUUUUCAAUGAGGUUCAUAUCACAUAUCCUUCACUUAUAUACAAGCUAAGAAUACAUAUGAUAAACAUUAGCUUACAAGAUAACUACAAGGAUCUAACGAUAACUACAAAGAUAAUUACAAGACUAACGAUAAGAAUAUUUUAAGUUUUAUCUUUAUCGUUAUCACACCCCCGCAAGCUGACAGGACAAGAACGAACUGGAAGCUUGGAAAUUAGAUAGCGAAAGCGAGAAGUAGACAGGCCUUUAGUAAGACAAUCAGCAAGUUGAUCGAGAGUAGAGAUAUAACGAACAUCAAGCUCUCCGCGAACAACCUUUUCUCGAACAUAGUGAUAGUCAACCUCUACAUGACGAGUCCGGGCAUGAAACACAGGAUUGGAGGCCAAGGAAAUGGCACUUAUGUUAUCACACCACAUGCGAGGACAAGACAUAGGAAUAUGUAAGUCUUUGAACAAAGAUCGAAACCAAGAUAAAGUAGCAGCUGUAUAUGCAAGCUGUCUGUACUCAGCCUCGAUACUAGAACGAGAAACCCCUUUUUGCUUCUUAGAACUCCAAGAAAUAAGAUUAGGUCCAAUAAAUAUUCAGGAACCCCCUGUGGAUACUCGAUCAUCAGGAUCACCAGCAUAGUCGGCAUCAGAAAAGGCUUGUAGUUCCAUUGAACCAGAUGAAUAAAGCAGACCAUGAGUGGUUGUACCCUUCAAAUACCGCAAGAUGCGUUUAACUGCACACCAAUGAGCUGUUGUAGGACGAUGCAUGUAUUGACAAACCUGAUUAACAACAAAUGAAAUAUCCGGACGAGUGAUUGUAAGAUACUGCAAAGCACCAACAACACUACGAUAUUCGGUGGGAUUUGAAAGUAAAUCACCAUCAAACAGAUUGAGACGACGACCACUCACUGCUGGUGUUGUCAUAGGCUUUGAAUUGAGGAACUCAGUGCGAUGUAAAAGAUCUAGAAUAUACUUGGUUUGACACAAGUGGAGCCCCAUUGCUGUUUGAGUAGCUUCAAUACCCAGAAAAUAAUGUACAGGACCAAGAUCUUUCAUAGAGAAUAAUUUGCUCAUAUGAUGUAUCAUUUGAGAAAUAUGAUAUGAACUAUUUCCCGUAAUUAAAAUAUCAUCAACAUAGAUGAGUAAAUAUAGAAGCACUGAAUCAUGUGAAUAAAUAAAUAGAGAAUAGUCUGCCAGUGAUUCAUGAAAGCCCAAUUGUUCUAAAUGACUAGAGAAACAUUGAAACCAUGCCCUAGGAGCUUGUUUAAGGCCGUAGAGAGAUCGGGGAAGCUUACACACAAAAGUAGGAUAUUGUGGAUCAACAAAGCCAAUAGGUUGGCGCAUAUAGACAUCCUCCUAUAAAUAACCAUGCAGGAAAGCAUUUUGCACAUCUAACUGUCGAAUAGGCCAGCUUUUGGUAACAGAUAUAGCUAAAAUGAGACGAAUGGUAUUGUGAUUAACCACUGGACAGAACGUCUCACCAAAAUCAAGGCCAGGUUGUUGAUGAAAACCAUUAUCAACUAAACGAGCUUUAUAACACUCAAUACUUCCAUCAGCUUUUCGCUUAAUUUGAUACACCCAUUUAUUUGGAAGGACAUUGUAAGAUGGAUGUGGAGGAACUAAUACCCAAGUACCAGUUCUUUGAAGAGCAUUAAAUUCAUCACCCAUUGCUUGUCGCCAACGAGAUUCCUUAUUUGCCUGUACAAAACCAUUAGGCUCAACAGCAUCAUUAGCAACUACAUUUGCAUAUUUUGGGUUUGGUUUCACAAUACCGGCUCUUGCUCGAGUGACCAUUGGAUGAGAAGAUAAUGCAUCCGAAGUAAUAUUAUCACAGGGCAUCGAUGGUGUCAGUGUAGGUGAAGAUAAUGAUUCUGGAAUUGUAUUAUUACUUGAAUUGGUGGGGGCCGAAUUAAGGCUAGGAGAAUUUGUAUUUGAGAUGAGUGGAGUGGAGGAAGAUGAAGAGGCACUUGAACGUAAUGAUGGAGAAUUAAUUGGAGAUGAUAGGGAAUGGGGUAAAGGUGAAUUAAAUGAAGAUGGUGAUGUGGCUUGGGAAGGAGAUUGUGAUGUAGGUUCUGUUGGAGCUAAAUGUGAAGUAUUAGCAUUAAUCCAAAGAAUAUUGAGUCCUGUAGAAUUUGACAUUAAAGUACUCACCCCCGGAGGCCUAGCAGUAACAUGGUCAACGAAAGGAAAUUUAUUUUCAUUAAAAAGAACAUGACGAGAUAUAAAUACAGUGCCUGAAGGAAUAUGCAAACAACGAUAUCCAUGUUGAUUGAAUGAGUAUCCCAAGAAAACACACUCUUUAGAACGAAAUUGUAAUUUAUUUGAAUUGUAAGGACGAAGAUAAGGGUAACAUGCACAUCCAAAGGUCUUUAAAAAAUCAUAUUGAGGAGUUUUAGAAAAUAGUAAAGAGUACGGUACUCGAAAUUUUAAAGAUUGAGAUGGUAGACGAUUAAUUAAAUAUACAGAUGUAUAAAAAGCUUCAGUCCAAUAAGUAGUAGGCAUUGAGGCAUGUGCAAGUAAAGUUAAGCCCAUGUCAACAAUUUGUCUAUGUUUACGUUCAGCAAUACCAUUUUGUUCAGGAUGAUGAGGACAUGUGAGAUGAUGAUUAAUGCCAUGAGUAUUUAGAUAAUCCUUAAAUUGAUGAUUAACAUAUUCACCACCACCAUCAGUUUGAAAUGACUUAAUAGUAAUGGAAAACAUAUUUUCGACCAACGAUUUAAAAGUUUUAAAAAUUAUAAAAAUCAGAUUUCAAUCGCAUAGGAUAAAGCCAUACAUAUCUGGAAAAAUUAUCAAUAAAGAUAACAUAAUAUUUAUAACCAGAAAUAGAACGAAUAGGAGAGGUCCAAACAUCAGAAUGUAUUAAUUCCAAAGGAGAAUGGGAGACUGAAAAAGAACUUGUAAAAGGUAAUUUCUGACUCUUUCCUAAAGGACAUGACGAACAAAAAAAUAAAGAUCGAGAUCCCAAAAUGAGUAGCUUAUUAAAAGAUAUAAGUUUAUUUAAAACUACGGACGAAGGAUGUCCAAGCCGUGAAUGCCAAAUUCAAGCAUCACUACGAACACCAACAUAAGCAAAUGGAUGACUAGGUUGAAAAAUUCGACCAGGAAAUAGAUAAAGACCAUUACUGCUCGGUCCGAGGAAAAGUGCCUUCUUCAUUGCCAGAUCUUGUACAACAAAAUAAUCAGGAAAGAAGGUGAAACUACAAUGAUUGUCAUUAGCAAAUUUAUGAACGGAUAAAAUAUUAUGGGAAGCUUGUGGACAAUGAUGAACAUCCUUUAAAAGAAAAGUGGAAGAAUUAGCAGAUAAGUAAGAAUGACCAAUGGAUUUAAUAGGCAAACCUGAACCAUUGACGACACCACUGAUGGUAUCCUGACCAUUGUAAUCACGAGGAUGCAUUAAAUUCCCAUUAUUUGGAGUUAUAUGAGCAUUAGCACCAGUAUCUGUUAACCAAUUUGGGGAACCAAAAGAUGUUGAUGUAGAAAUCAUUGCAGAAAGCUGUUGGGGAGGGAUACGACCCUCAUAUGCAUGAUUCAUGCGAUUGUAGCAAUCAAUAGCUGAGUGACCCAUUUUCUGAUAGAUUUGGCAUUGAAUCCGAUUGUCAGAAGGAAAAGGACCCAUUGGGGGUUUGUUGAUAGGACCAUUACUAGGAUUGAAAUUUGGCAAAGAGGAAAAAUUCCCACGUCUUGGAGUUGGCAGUAGCCCUCUAUUUUGAGAACCAAAACCAGUAUGAUUAGAACUACUAGACCAUCCAGUAAAACCAUUACCACCAUUGAAACCCCCAGAAAAAUUAUUAACACCACCACGACCACUAUUAUUACGCGGGAAGCCACGACCAUCUCUAUUAUUUGGGCCACCUCGAGUGGCUUUCAUGACAACUGUUGAGUCGGACGGAUACAGAUAUUGUUUAAUAGAAGUGAGGCGUCGCUCAGCACUCAAAAGUAAAGCUUCAAGACCAACAUAACUAAUAGGAGUUUCACGAGCUUGAACAGAGGCAACUGUAUUUUCAUAUAAAUGACCAACAAUACUCAUAAUAAUGGAGACCAAGUCUUCAUCAGAAAUAUGACUACCAGAGAGAGAGAGAUUGUCAGCAAUAGAGUGAAUUUUAUCCAGAAAAUCAGAAAUAGAAAGAUCACCGCGUUUAGUAGUAACUAGCUCAGUACGCAACUCGACGAUUCGUUGUUGAUUUUGGGAAGCAAAACGUUGAUCUAAAGAAGACUAGACAGCACGUGCAGAAGUGUAACGUGCAACAGUACUUAGCAAGGAUUGAGAAAGAGAGCCAUUAAUCUAAGAGAGAACAAGUUGAUCAUUCUGAAUCCAUUCCUCAUAUGCUGGAUUAAUUAUAUCAGUUACUUCUCCAUUUUUUUCUUUUAGAAAAGGAGCAGGACAAACGCUUGUGCCAUCAACAUAUUUUUACAAAUUACGACUGCGAAGAAGAGGCACAAUUUGAGCAAGCCACAAAGGAUAAUUAUUUCGGUCAAGACGAACAUUGACUGAAUUGGUAAUAUUAGAGGGCAGAGAUGAAGAACUAGCAUGGGAAGUGGAAGAAGAACUCAUCAUGAAAAGAUUGAGAAUUUAACACAAAGGUUGUUAGACUUAUAAAGUUCUGAUACCAUAAAACAAUAAAACUUUGGAGGACGAUUUGUAAGCCUCAGUUUUCAAUGAGGUUCAUAUCACAUAUCCUUCACUUAGAUACAAGCUAAGAAUACAUAUGAUAAACAUUAGCUUACAAGAUAACUACAAGGAUAAUUACAAGACUAACGAUAACUACAAAGAUAAUUACAAGACUAACGAUAAGAAUAUUUUAAGUUUUAUCUUUAUCGUUAUCAUGUAGGUCAAUCUUUUUGUUUGGUCCAUGUCUAGUGAUAAGAUAGUGUGAGUGAUUUUGAGAGAAAAUAUGAAAAACACAAACAAUGAAAAUUCCCUUUUACUUAAACUAAGACAGAUUUUUCUACACUGAAGUUGAUAGAAGACACUCGAAUGCGCCGGAGUGACAUCUUGACAAAUUAAAGCGAGAACUAAGACAUGCUAGACUGCUAGUCCUUUCUCGCGCAUUUAGUUGACAUUAUUUUGCUUUGCAAAUAAAUGCGGGCAUGGUUGAAGGCAUUUUAUCUUUCCAGAAGUGGAUGGAGAAAUAAAUAUAAUUAAAAGGGAUGCGAAUAAUAAAUGCCAGUUUUUCUUAAUAAUGAAGAAUCUAUUAGAAAUAAAUUGAAAUGUAACAAAAUACUUGAAAUAAUUCAAGUGAUGGGUUUUUUCUCUGUCAAUAACGGUUGAUAGUUCCUUGUCAUGAGCUUCUUAUCUUUUGUCUUGAAGGAAGAAAUUACAAAAGACAAAUAAAACGAUUUCCUUUACACAUUCAAUCAAUGCUGCUGCCUUUAUACCUUUAUUAUUCUCGGAGGGAUGAUACUGUUGAGAGCCGAAACCAUUACCCACACUCACUCCUCUUAUGGCCAUGUCUAACUCUCUACAAUAAUUUUGAUAUUGCUGUUCUUCAGUUCUUCCACUACUCAACAAAUGCGAAGGUAUGCGAUGGCUCCCCUCAAUCAAGUUGAUUUUACAUUUGUUACAAUAUACUCCCGCCAUUGCUAGAGCCUCUAUGGACAUGUUUUAACAAGGUGAAGGAGGAGCUAAAUAAAAUUCACAAUUUUCCUGAAAGUUUACAGCUUCCAGGAAAUUCACCACCUCUAUAGAAUUGUAAUAACAAGAAUUGUGGUCUCCGUAAAAGAAUUUAUAAGAGUUAAUAUAAAAGAUUUGUUUAGGAGAAUGAAUUUUAUACGGACUAGAAAUACUCAUGAUUAAUUAGUUAUUCAGAAGGUUUAGAAAUCCUCUCGAUAUCAGGAAGCCAUUUAAGAUUCUGAUUAUUGUUGUUCUAAAUAUAUUAGUUUGCACCAACUUCCAAUUCCACAAUUACUCUGACAGCGGUUUUCACAGACUUAUUUAUGUAUCUGAAUCUUUUUUAUUCAUGAAAGAAUAAUCUCUUGCAAACUCACAACUUCAAUUAUGAAUAAACUAGGUAGCAACCAUUUCUUUACUUUUAAUUGCUUUGGAAAUUAAGGAUUCGUCAGCCGCCAGAUUCCGCAGUGAUUCUGUUGCAUUGGAUUCCUUCAAUUUCCUUUUGCAUUCCAUUAUUUGUUGAACUAUUUAUGCACGAGUGGAGGACGAAUUCUAGAAUACAUUUGAAAUAAUACAAUCAACCAAUGCAUGCACACCACUCGUAUGGAGAUUUUUCAAAAAUAAAUGUACACAUGUCAUAAUAUUAUCUACUUGUUAUAUGACUGACAUGAUAUUUUUCAUGUAUUCUAAAUUUUUUCUGAGUGGAGACCAUGAGUGGUAACAUCCUCGUUACAAAAGAGUAUUACAAAGAGAGAAUCACUUGUCAAUUUCAAUAUUUAUUGUAUUGAAACUACUAAGUAUAUAAGCUCGGACAACCCUAAUUUCAUGAUGAGGGGUUAAAGACAAUACUAUUCUAAAAGAAAAUGGAACGAAAUCGUCCAUCCAUAGCCAUUAUUUGACUUUUAGAUUUGCCCUUCCAAAUUUUAACAAAAUGCGCAGACGAUUUUUAAUUUAUUCAUGUGAGCAAAGUACAACAAAAUUAUUGAACCAAUCAGAACCAAGAUGGAAAUGAUCAUAAGCAAAAGUAAUUUGCAAGGAUGAAUGGAAGCAGAUAAAUUAUUCUAAUUAAGAAGGAUAUUUACUAGGAUCAUACCUUAAUCACUUUAUUAUAAAUUAAAAAUGUCCGUACAAGAACUGCUGCAAAUUAAUUAAACUAUUGGAAAAAGAAAAAUUGUAGACAAAAUCUCAAUGAAUUUUAAGCCAAUUUGGCUAACAAAGACAUGCAACCAGCGCCUAAAAGAAGAGAAACAUUUGCUCCAAACUGAAGCCUUUUAUUGGUUUGCAUCUUUGGAUUCAUAAAAUCUGCAGCAAGAAGAUCCACCAAGGACAUGUAUAUUAGGAUUCUGGCUGCUGCUGCAUUGAAUAUUCCUUCAACAACAAGAGCAGUGGCGCUAUUUUUGUCAUAAACACUUGAUAUUUCAAUGCCUAUUUUUACACUAAUUUGAUCAUUUUGUAAUAUAAAAAUUUGACAAUUGAAAAACAAAUCAACUUUUUUUUUUGUUAAAAGAAAACGAAUCAACUUUUAAAUUCAUUUUAAAGUAAAAAAAAAUGACAGUAAAAUACUAUUAACGUAAGGGGAUUUCAGUAAAUUUUAGAACAUGAGAGAUAAAUGACUAAUUUUACUAGACAAAGGGGGUUAAUUUUCUCCUAAAAAAAAUUAGGUAUUGGUUGAUGACUUUUAAAAAAAAAACUACUCUUUAUUAUUAUUUUUUUAAAUUUUCUUUUUGUUCGACCAAAACUCCCAUGGUAUUGGGAUAUACCUAAAUUUGAUGUAAAAUUAGGGAUUAGUUAAAUGAAAUAAUUUAAACACUGCAUAAAAUCUGUUUGUGGGGUAUGCUUCGACGAAGACCAGCAGUGAUAAGCAGACAUUUGGUAGCAGGGUUCCUUGAACAUGUAUAUCUUGUAAGAGUCUGGUAGCCAGGGGAGCAGGAGCAGGAAUAUCCUGCUCGUCCACGAGUACGUCAUCCAUAAGGCCAAUCUCCUGUUGGAAGCAUAAAGUCAUUCCUGCUACAUUCCUGCUAAGGGUUGAGUCGAGGAGACCCGGUCAACGACAGUUGGCGAGACGUGCUCUCCAGUCCGAGAAUCAAGGCACGAAGGCCACGCAACCACCCACGACUACAGAAAUGGAGCAUCCACUUUCGAGAGGUGGGAGGAUAACGAGCGCGAAUGGAGGGAAGGCCUGAGUUCAGAAGUGGCCUAUAAAAAGGUAGGCAACGAAGGUAAAAGGGUUAGAAUUUUUUAUAGGAGAACUAAGAUAAAGAGAGCUCUAAAGAAUGAAUACUAGAGAAAAGCCAUAAGAUUAGUGGCCAGUGUUCCCAAGAGCACAAAACCUUCAUUUCUAACUUGAGCGUCGGAGGGUUUACGCCAGGGAAACAACCGGCGUACUCUGACCUGCUUCUGUGUACGCAGGAACCUCAGGAGAAGAAGCCUUACGAGAAGAGAUCCUGGUCGUGAUAAAGAGGGCAACCAGAAUCUCGCAUCAAUAUUUUGACGCCGUCUGUGGGGAACUGAUCACAAAGUUUUUGUUGACAGCAAAAAGAGGAGUAAAGCAAGUGAAAAAACAAUGGAGGCAGGAGGAAGUAGUGCACAAGGGGGGUGAUAUGAGGCUUAACGAUUCCGUGACGCUGAGGGAGAUAGACAGUUAACCACGGGAAAAAGCCAUGUUUGACCGAAUAGAACGGAUAGAAAAGCAGAUGGAGACCCUGACAACCAUCUUACAUGAGCUGUGGAGUGAAAGAAGGGGAACCCAGGAGGAAAGGGUGAGAGGUGGUGGAGUGGCACCAGGUCACGAUAGUAUGAGGAGAGUCAAACCACCAGGAGAUUUGGUGGUGAGAGAGGUAACUUAUCUCUGCGGGGAGAAAUUCAUAGAGAGGAAGAGCAAUCCUUAGCAAGACAGAUUUUUGAUGAGGACGACGGGGUGGCGAAUGCAGAGGAAACAGAGCUCAGGCAACACUUACAUGAUGUAGAGCAAGAGCGGGAUCAAGUUGCAGCACGUGACCCUAGUCGUGCAGUGCAGCUGGAGAAGGAAGUGCGCAGACUAGCGCAGGUAAUUGAAGACAUGCAAGGAAGGAGCAGAGCUCCUGGUUGGAGGAUAAUGCUGGACGGAGAAUCACCGCUCGUGGCAGAGAUCAUGAGGGCAGUCAUUCCAAGAGAUUUUCGUCUCCUAGACCUUAGAUAUUUGGGACGAACUGAUCCGUUGGUGUACAUAGAGCGCUUCAACGACAUAACUGGGGUGCAAGGAUUAUCUCAAGCCCAAAGGUGCAGGGUGUUCCCACUAUCCCUAGAAGGACGUGCACGCGAGUGGUACAGAAAAUUUCCUCGGGGGAGCAUUAAAACCUUCGAGCAGAUGUGCCAGGAAUUUGUAGAGCAGUUUCGUGGGGCAAUGGCACCAGAAGACGACAUGAUGGAGUUGAAAAGCAUGAAGCAGAGGGAGCAAGAAACCCUUCGGGAAUUCUUCAAGAGGUUUCAUUGUGCUGUCCUCGAUUUGGAAGCCUUCAACCAUCCUCAGGCAUUAAGGGGAUUGAAAGAAGAGGUGAAGAUAAGAAAAAGUGAUGUCCGUUUUGCCGUCUGAUUUCUCCUUUAUUGUGAAAUGACUAUAAUGCCCCUAAAAUACAUAAAAUACUUAAUUAAAAUAAAACACAUGUAAUUAAAUCACAAGAAGGUUAAACACAUAAAAGUAAGGGUUGUUAAUAAGACUUGAAAUGUAAAAUGACGGUUUUCUCCUUUAUAAAUAUGCAUUUUCUAACACUCAACACUUACCAGCCUCAUCAGAGGCUACCACAGUAUCAGCGCAGCAGGGCGCAACCUCCUCGCUCACCAGCUAGGGAGCCUUGGAGACGGCAUGACGCGGCAUAUGGUGGUCUUCAUCCACACUCCCAUGGUAGUAGAAGGAGCAGACCGAAAGCGCUGCCACCGCCUCCAACUCAGAACGGCGCAAAUAGAGAAAGGGCAGUGCACAUGAUCAACCAGAACCAGGACUAUGGGUGGUAUACUUCCUUGAAGAUGCCCCUGGAUGAGGUGUAUGAGGCCAUAAAAGACCAGGGACUACUGUACCUCUCUGCCCCAAUAACAAAGCUACGCAGCAGGAGGGAUAGGGGACACUAUUAUAAGUUCUAUGGCACUUAUGGCCAUACCACUGCAGAAUGCAGAGAUCUCAAGACCCAGGUUGAGGAUUUGGUGAGAAAUCGGUACCUGGACGAGUUUAUAUAUGGGACUUUCCCGAUGAUGGCCUCGACAUGUGAAGGGGAGCAGAGUGACAGAAACUUGAGGCACGAGCAGCCUACAGUAAGGGUGAUAGCUGGGGGCCCAACAUUGGCCGGAGAUUCCAACAGAUCGAGGAAGAAUUAUGCUAGAUACGCCAUGACUAGUAAAGAGGUAUUCUUCAACACCCCAGCAGUCAAACGAGCAAGAGUCAGGCAAGUGCCAAUCAUGUGGACAGAUGAGGAUGAAGAAGGGAUUUUAUACCCCCACGAGGAUGCUUUAGUCAUCAAGGCCACUGUUGCUAGCAAGAAGUUUGACCAGAUACUGGUUGACACAGGGAGCUCAGUUGAUGUGUUGUUAAAGGCAACUCUGAAGGAGAUGGGAAUAGCAGACUUGAAGUUGGAGUGCUCCAAUACCUCCUUGAAGGGGUUUGGAGGAGGAAAGCUGGUCCCUCUGGGCGUGGUCGAGCUGCCUAUCACGAUUGGGAGCUCCCCGACAGAAAGGACUAUGAUACUGGACUUUGUGGUGGUGGAUGAAGAAGGUCCUUAUCAGAUGAUCCUAGGUCGACCAUUUUUUAGAAUGAGCAAAGUGGUACUGUCCAACCAUUAUCUAGCUCUCAAGUACCGGGUGAAUGGGGUAGUUGGAGUGGUACGAGGAGACCAGAGAAUCGCACGAAGUUGUUACUCCUCGGCAGCAAGGGAAGCAAUGCAGAUAACAUCCCUUGAUACCCGAGUGGAAAAUAAGAAUUGCGGACAAGAACCUGUAGAGGAGCUGGAGACAGUGAGCCUGGGACCGGAGCAUCCGGGAAAAACGAUCAGAAUCAGGUCGAAACUUAAAGAAGAGCAGAAGCAGGAGUUGGUGCAAUGCUUGCGGGCUCAUGCAGAUGUGUUUGCUUGGACACAUGAAGACAUGCCAGGGAUUGAUCCUGAGGUAGCAUGUCAUAAGCUGGUAAUAAAGAAAGGUGCUCGGGCAGUAAGGCAGAAAAGGAGGUGUUUCAACCAGGAGAGGUAUGAGGCUAUAAAUGGCGAGGUGGAAAAGCUCUUGAAAGCAGGGUUCAUUCGGGAAGUCAAUUAUCCUGACUGGGUAUCGAAUGUGGUGUUAGUAAAAAAGGCUAAUGGCAAGUGGAGGAUGUGUGUGGAUUUCACGGACCUCAACAAGGCGUGCCCGAAAGACAGCUUUCCCUUACCAAAGAUUGACCAGCUUGUAGACUCGACAGCUGGACAUAGCCUGCUUAGCUUCAUGGACGCAUUCUCGGGAUACAACCAAAUCCCCAUGUUCGAGCAGGAUGAGGAGAGCACGGCAUUUAUUACUAACCAGGGUCUGUUCUGUUACAGAGUAAUGCCAUUCGAUCUUAAAAAUAUGGGGGCCACGUACCAGAGGCUGGUGAAUAAAGUUUUUAAGCCGUUGAUUGGGAGAACAAUGGAGGUGUACGUGGAUGACAUGAUAACUAAGUCGAAAAUCUCAAAGGAACAUGUCAAGCACCUCGAGGAGACAUUCGCACUUUUGAGGAAGUACAAGAUGAAGCUCAACCCGGAAAAGUGUGCUUUUAGGGUCGAGUCAGGGAAAUUCCUCAGAUUCAUGGUGAGUCAUAGGGGGAUCGGGGCAAAUCCCGAGAAGAUCCAGGCGAUUGUUCAGAUGAGGUCUCCUCGUAACCUGAAGGAGAUGCAGAGCCUUACGGGGAGGCUGGCGGCAUUGAGCCGAUUCAUAUCCAAGGCUACAGAUAAGUGUCAGCCAUUUUUUCAAGUGAUAAGGAAAGGAGAAGACAUAAUGGACCCCAGAAUGCGAAAAGGCCUUUCAGAGCUUGAAGCAAUACUUGUAGCAAGCACCCUUGUUGUCCACACUAAGGGAUGGGGACAAGUUAUCUUUGUAUUUGACGGUAUCAGAUCAUGCCACAAGUUCUGUUCUGGUGAGAGAGGAAGAAGGGGUUCAGUAUCCGAUAUAUUACACCAACAAGGUCCUGCUUGACGCUGAGACCCGAUACCCACCGUUGGAGAAAUGGGCACUCGUUCUUGUGGUCGCUGCUCGGAAGCUGAGGCCGUACUUUCAAGCAUUCCCCGUCUCGGUAAUAACAAACCAGCCAUUGCGUCAAACCCUACACAAGCCGGAUGCCUCUAGUCAACUCGUAAAGUGGGCUAUAGAGCUAAGCGAGUUUGACAUUGAUUACAAACCCCGAGCAGCGAUAAAGGCUCAAGCAAUGACUGAUUUCGUAGCAGAGUUUGCAGAGCCUGAAAUAUGUUUGGACCAGCUAGAUAUUGCUACAGACAGCAGCGAAGCCCGAGUAUGGCAGAUGUCUGUAGAUGGGUCAUCAGGGGAGCAGGGAUCAGGAGUAGGAAUUGUCUUGGAAGGCCCAGAGGGGGAGGAGAUCUCUUAUGCUGUAAAGUUAGAAUUCGCAGCCACAAAUAACCAGGCAGAGUACGAAGCCUUGAUAGCAGGCUUGGAAUUGGCUAAGGCAGUGAAAACAGAUAGAGUGAAGAUCAGAACUGAUUCCCAGCUGGUUGCAAAUCAUGUCAGUGAAAGAUUUCAACCGAGAGAGGAGAAGAUGGAGCAGUACCUGAAGAUAGUCAGGCAGAUGAUGGAGAAAUUUGAAGUGGUUGAGGUGAUACAAAUCCCCAGGGAGCAGAAUAGUCGAGCAGAUAUUUUGGCCAGGAUGGCAGCGGUAGCAGACCCAAAAAUGCCAAAGUCGAUCCCUCUGGAGGUGAAGUCCAACCCGAGCACCGAGCAGAAUCUGGAGGUGCUGCGGAUAGAACAAAAAUGCUCGUGGAUGGACUCGAUAAUUUCAUACCUUAGAGACGGGGUAUUACCACCAGAUAAGCUGCGAGCUCGAAAGAUUAGAGCCCAGGCCUCGAGAUACACGAUGAUUGAUGGGGUGUUAUAUCGGUGAAGGUAUACGCUACCGUUCCUUCGGUGUUUGGAUGAGGACGACGCGGACUAUGUACUGAGAGAGGUACAUGAAGGAAUCUGCAGAAACCAUUCUAGUGGGAGGUCCCUGGCCCACAAGGUUCUAAGGCAGGGAUAUUUUUGGCCGACAAUGCACCAGGAUGCGCAGGAGAAGACCAGGAGCUGUGUAAGCUGCCAGAGUUUUGCAAGUUUCUCCAACCAACCACCAGAGAAGCUCACCUCUAUGGCCUCCCCUUGGCCAUUUGCUCAAUGGGAAAUUGAUCUGAUCGGCCCGUUGCCAAAGGGACGAGGAGCAGCAACACAUGCAAUAGUUGCGAUAGACUACUUCACGAAGUGGAUAGAGGUAGAAGCCCUUAGCAGGAUCACAGAGAAGAAGACAACAGACUUCGUGUGGAGAAACCUGGUCUGUCGGUACGGGAUCCCUUAUGCCUUGGUAACGAAUAAUGGCAGGCAGUUCGAUAAUCACAGCUUCAGGGAUUUCUGCCAAAACCUCGGGAUAGAGUUGAAAUAUUGCUCGCCUGCUUACCCACAGUCUAACGGGCAAGUAGAAGCAGCCAACAAAACGAUCAAGAGGCUUUUAAAAACCAGGCUUGGAGCAAAAAAGGGUGCUUGGGUUGAUGAGCUAUCAGGUGUACUAUGGGCAUACAGGACAACCUAUAAGACAACAACUGGGGAAACUCCAUUCGCCUUGACCUUCGGACACAAAGCGGUUGUACCAGCCAAGAUAGGAACAACCACGCACUGGACAGAUCAUUUCGAUGAGCAAGAGAACAACGACCAGAUGUGCUUGAAUCUAGAUCUGCUAACCGAGAAGAGGGAACAAGCAUCGAGGUGAUCAGCCAUUUACCAGCAGAGGGUUGCUCGGUACUACAACCAGAGGGUGAAUGUAUGGCAGUUCAAGGUCGGAGAUUGGGUGUUGAGGAGAGUGAAUCAGAACACGAAAGACUCGGCCUAGAGAGUACUCAGACCAAAUUGGGAGGGGCCAUAAAGGGUCAAGCAGCUAGUUAGACCCGGAGCUUACAAGCUGGUUCGCACGGAUGGCCACGAGGUGAAAUGCCCAUGGAAUGCGGCACACCUCAGGAAAUAUUUUCAGUAAGACUUAUUCAUGUUUUAAAGUUAUUUCUGUUCAUGCUCGUUGUUUUUUAUUUUUAUUUCAAAGUAAUCUCAUGUAAGCCGAAUUCAAUAAUAAGUGAAUCAAUGAGAAAUUUCAGUUAACUGUACUGUUCAAAAAUUUACUAAGGCAUGCAAAGGCUCACCAAGUCUCAAAGCUUGUUAUGGCGAGACCAGAAGCCAAGUGUGCCAGGAUCUGCUCGACCACGCGAAGGUGAGCAGAACCCCAAGCAUUGAAGAAUUUACUAAGGCAUGCAAAGGCUCACCAAGUCUCAAAGCCUGUUUAUGGCGAGACCAGAAGCCAAGCGUGCCAGGAUCUGCUCGACCACGCGAAGGCGAGCAGAAUCCCAAGCAUUGAAGAAUUUUCUAAGGCAUGCAAAGGCUCAUCAACUCUCAAAGCCUGUUUAUGGCGAGACCAGAAGCCAAGCGUGCCAGGAUCUGCUCGACCAAGCGAAGGCGAGCAGAAUCCCAAACAUUGAAAAAUUUACUAAGGCAUGCAAAUGCUCACCAAGUCUCAAAGUCUGUUUAUGGCGAGACCAGAAGCCAAGCGUGACAGGAUCUGCUCGACCACGCGAAGGCGAGCAGAACCCCAAGCAUUGAAGAAUUUUCUAAGGCAUGCAAAGGCUCACCAAGUCUCAAAGCCUGUUUAUGGCGAGACCAGAAGCCAAGCGUGCCAGGAUCUGCUCGACCAAGCGAAGGCAAGCAGACCUUUAAGUGUUAUAAAAAUUUCUAAGGCAAGUAAAGGCUCCAAAGUCUCAAAACCUGCUCGAUGGCGAGAUAAAAAGUCAAGCUUGCUAGAAUUUGCCCGACCAUGUGAAGCCGAGCAAAAAAAAAAAAAUUUACAACUUCUAUACCAGAAGACAAGUAAGAACAUUCUUAUUAAUAUGCCAACAGUUCGUAAAGUUAUUCAUCAUAACAGACAAUGUCCAAAAAAUAGGAAAAGGCAACUAUAACACAAAACAUGUUUAAAAAGACGGCGGCUCAGUAAGCCGAGAAGCCUCAGUUGGCUGGUCCACCUCAGGUGCUGGGGGAGUAUCACCAGUUGCGUCCGGGGGGGCACUUGCCUCGCCAACGUCAACAGGGAUUGCACAAGGAGGAGAGUUUUCCUCCUCGACCAUAAUUGGCUCCACCACUUCGGCAUCCUCUUUCGCCGCCUCCUCAUCAUCCAUGUGUUGAGCAACACCAGCUGCAAGGUCAUCCAUUUUCAGAUCAGGGUGCUACUUCCCAAGGACAACCAUGAUGCAACGAUAAGAAUGCCGAAGUCCCUGGUCGUAUUGGUUGUCCGCUUCCUUCUCCAAGUUCUCGACCUAAGCCCGGUAGGAAUCGCGGAGAGAUUCGAGCUGAGCCUCGUACAUAACCUUCUACCUUUGCAGAUCUUCUUUGACCUUGGUUAGCUCUUCCUCGAGAGUAAUAGCCUUUGCUUAAGCAAGAGAUUCUCACUCUAUCAGCUUCAGAUUCUCGAGAUUCAAGUCUCCUACUUUCUUCUCGGCAGCGUCGGCUCUGGUCAUCGCCGAUUGAAUGUCCUCCUUCAUCUUCCAGUCAUAACGACCAACCUUGACCUUAUAGUAAGUGGUCAUGCAGCUGAGAUGGAAAUCGCUAUACUGCAUGGCCCCCACCAGCUCACCCAGGGUGCAGCCAUCAAAGUCCUCCAGGUCCUUCUUGCUUACAAGUUUAGAUAACUCGUUGAGAUAGGGGACCAAGUGUUCUGCUCGGUUGUCAGAUAAACGAGAUCUAGGCCCGACAGGAGGAGAAGAGGAAGCAGGAUCAGUGGCUGCUCCACUAGUUUCUCCGACUUUGGCAGGAGGAGGAGGUAGAGUCUUCAAGGGAGGAACCUGCUGCACAAUGUUCACCCGCUUCGCAGUAAGAGCGUCCUUGUUCUGGUCUCUCUUCGCAGUUUGAGGUCGAGAACGUUUCCAAUUCAGAGCCCCGAUCACAACAUCCUCCAUCUUAUGGCCGGGGGGCACCAAGCAAGAUUCAACCAGGUUAUAACGUGGUUAGCAGCUCCCAGUGCGAGCAAGAAUUGGCCAACACAGCCUCGACCUGUUUGAGCUGGUCGGGAUUAAGCGGGAAGUGAACACCCCAAGAACCUGUAAAACGAACAGACAUUUGGUUAGAGACAAAUCAACAAAGUGAGAACAACUAUAGAGACAAGUCAUUUAAAAUGAGCAGGCAACCUGGAACCACGAAAUGGGGUGGGACGCGAUAAUCCUUCCCAUCAAUCUGUGCAACUUGACCCCAGGGACCCCCAGCAAAAAAGAACUUUCUCUUCCAAUUCCCACCACCACCAGUAGGAAGGUCGGUUAUGGGUUUCCUGAUCUUAGUACUUGAUUGGAAGUAAUACCAGCCAACAUCUUUGGGGCUGGUUUUCAGCUGGUACAUGUGCUUCACCUCAUCAACUGUGGGCUCGCUUUGGCAACAUUUGUCCCACAAUAUGAACAGACUAGAGAGUACUCUCUACCCGUUGGGGUUCAGCUGACCAGGAGCUAGAUUUAGCCCGUUAAGAAUCCGGGCAAAGUAGGGUUGCAAGGGGCACCUCAGUCCAUACUUAAAACUCUCCAAAAACGGGGUAACAUAUCCCCUAGGAGGCCAGCUAGGAGUAUCCUUCUUUCCUGGGAUUUUAAGAGGUAUUUCACCAGGAAUACUAUACCUAAGCCGGAGGUCAGUGAGUUCAUCAAAUGUGGUCGUGCAUGUAAUGUAAUCAAUAGCGUAAUCCCGCGAUAGGGCUCUACCUCCUACUAUACUCCGCCCUUCUGGUCGCGAUGUUCGCAGUGAGGAUACCUCCCCAGAGUCACCCCUUCGAUCCUCACUCAGGGUGUUUUUCGAGCCAGAAGAUCCCUCCUCAUCCCUAUUUCUGCUUGAGGAGGCUGUUUGGGGGGACAUCCUCCUAGAGCUAGUCCCAACACUAGACCUAAUGGGUUCUAAGGGGAUCCUGGGGUCAAAAGUAGGAUCGGUGAGCAGACUAGGCAGGAAGUCCAACUCAUCGUCAUCAACCUCAAUGACUUUUUCUUUACCUUUCGACAUUCUCUAAACUAUAACUAGAGCACCACCACCAACUACUACCCAAUCAAAGCAAAGAGAAAAGAAAUUAUCUACAACUAUCCAAGACCGAGAAAAUAGGAGAAAUACCUAAAGAAGGGGCUCGGCCAGAGAGAGAUAGGGAUGGAAGCUUUAAUGCCGAAGUUCAUUCGCCGGAGAGACAAGAAGGGAGAAAAUGACGAGUUCUCGUUUGGGGGUUUUGGGUUUUCCUACUGAGGAACAAACUCUUGGGCUGCCAGCAUUUAACGGCACAUAUCCCAAGAGUCUUGCAACCGUAGGUUUGAAAUUCAAAUAGAGGGGUAGAUUUCUGCCACAUCACCUCAUCCGCAAUUAAAUGCGACACGACACUUGGCAGCUUUUUCCAAUCCCGCGCGAGCAAGAACUGUCGAGUUUCUACUGUUGGCUCACUACGUUACCCAACACCAGAAACUGGGGGACCAAUGUUUGUGGGAUAUGCUUCGACGAAGACCAGCAGUGAUGAGUAGACAUCUGAUAGCAGGGUUCCUUGAACAGGUAUAUCUUGUAAGAGUCUGGUAGCCGGGGGAGUGUUGUGCAAAUUUUAAUGUACUCGCAAGCGCACGAAUCUAUUGUAGUAUAGAUUAAUGGUGACGAGUGUCGAUCCCACGAGGAGGUGUAUUUUAAUUAUAUGUAGAAUUAAUUUUGUAAAUGGGUGGUUGAAAUUGUGGUGGAAGUGAUUUAAAUUAUCCUAAAAUUGGAAUUGAGAUGGCGAUAAUAAAUUCUAAAAUUGGAAUUGCAAUGGCGAGAAUAAAUUGAAGCAAAAUCUAUUGAAAUGACGUACUUGGGUAUCUGGAUCCAUAUCAACAUGCAUCAUGAGCUAAAUAAUCCGUAUUAAUGCCAAUUAAAUCAUGAGGGGGGAAUCCACACCUCAUGAACCACGCUCUAAUCAAUAUGGUGCUAAGGGCUUAUCGUUCCAAAUAAUAAUAACCUUGUACUAGAGGGCCGGUGAAACCAAGGCGGUACUAGACAAGAUUAGUAUUAUUUGUCGACGAGAAGUCAAAACAUCCACAAAAACUAGAGGGGAAGAGAAAAUAAAUUUACCAAAUAAAGCCCAUGACACAUGUUGAGACUUCACCUUCAACCCAAGCUUGAAAGAAAAUUAGCUAUUCAUAAUUGAACUAGGGGCAAAAUGAGAAUUUAUUAAAAUACGUAGAAAAUAGAAGAUGGAGAAGGAAUUACAGAAAAUGGAUCCCAAAAAUGGAUUCAGAGAUAUCAAAUUAAGGGGGAGAGGCCCCUUUUUUAUAGAUACAUGGAAUAAAUCAUGGCCAUCGGAUUAAAAACAGUUUUGACGCUCAGGAUUGCGCCACUUCAUCAGUCAACAAUACGCGGUUUGACCACGCGAAUGAACAGCAACACAGUUUGACCCGGGUUGAACAGUAAUGAUGUUUGGUUGAAAAUAAUCCUGUGUGAUACAUGUACCGUGCGCGAGAUUUUUCGUCCACUGAUAUGCUGCCACGUCACCAUCAAUAGUACAUAAGAAUUUUAGUCCAACAGGAUCGUGACACCUCAUCAGUCAAUGCCACAUCAUCGGUCAAUGCCACAUCAUCGAUCCGUCUAUGUGAACAAUGUCGUGAACAGUAACGUAGAUAGUACCGUACAUGUGAAUAGUGCCAUUUUUCCUUUUAUGCUCCUCAUAAGGUUUUCGACCGUCCUGAGUUCAAAAGUGAUGUCCGUUUUGCUGUCUGAUCUCUCCUUUAUUGUGAAAUGACUAUAAUGCCCCUAAAAUACAUAAAAUACUUAAUUAAAAUCAAACACACAUAAUUAAAUUGCAAGAAGCUUAAAUACAUAAAAGUAAAGGUUGUUAGUAAAACUUGAAAUGUAAAAUGAUGAUUUUCUCCUUUAUAAAUAUACAUUUUCUAACACUCAACAUGGAGCAGGAGUAGGAAUAUCCUGCUCGUCCAUGAGUACGUCAUCCACGAGGCCAAUCUCCUGCUGGAAGCAUAAAGUCAUUCCUGCUACAUUCCUGCUAAGGGUUGAGUCGAGGAGACCCGGUCAACGACAGUUGGCGAGACGUGUUCUCCAGUCCGAGAAUCAAGGCAGGAAGGCCACGCAACCACCCACGACUACGGAAAUGGAGCAUCCACUUUUGAGAGGUGGGAGGAUAACGAGCGCGAAUGGAGGGAAGACUUGAGUUCAGAAGUGGCCUAUAAAAAGGUAGCCAACGAAGGUAAAAGGGUUAGAAUUUUUUAUAGGAGAACUAAGAUAAAGAGAGCUCUAAAGAACGGAUACUAGAGAAAAGCCAUAAGAUUAGUGGCCAGUGUUCCCAAGAGCACAAAACCUUCAUUUCUGACUUGAGCGUCGGAGGGUUUACGCCGGGGAAACAACCGGCGUACUCUGACCUGCUUCUGUGUACGCAGGAACCUUAGGAGAAGAAGCCUUACGAGAAGAGAUCCUGGUCGUGGUGGAGUUGAUCGAGCAGAGAUCCUGGUCGUGGUAAAGAGGGCAACCAGAAUCUCGCAUCAACAAAAUCUGCCUUUGUCGAUGCUAUCUCACUGUCUUAAGGCCUAACUUCUUGAAAUUUUUUCUGAAAGAUACAACAGGAUCACUUAUCCACAAGCCUAGUCAGCAACUUGGACACUAUUUUCAGCAUUAGCAUUGACAUAAGAACAAAACGUACAAUUGAGCUUAUUAAAAAACAUUGCAGUUGAUUGGAUUGUUAAUAAGUAUGGCACCAUAUGGAUGAUAAAAUUAAGCAGGAAGAAAGAAAAAAUAAAUUUUAUUAUGCAAAAAAUAAACUACAAACUAGGCACAAUAAAUAAAUAAAAAUAAAUUUUAUUAUGCAACCCAGAAUUCUCCUUUGCUGUCUGCCUCAAUGUUGUCCGGAAAUUUUUGGAGCUGAGCAAAAGGUUGUGGAGGGCACAUAGCUCUAUGGUCAUGGAGCCAAAACCUCAGAACUCGCAUUGGGAUGGAUUCAGCCACUAAGAGGAACGUCUUGUCCUUGAUUAGGGCAACUCCAUUUGGAAAUGCCAAACCUCUGUACAUGAUGGUCACCUCAUUGCUGUAUGGAUCAUACUUCAAGUAACUUCCCGCUUCUGUCUCUGUUAUCGAUUACAGAAGAAUAUUGCCUACAAGAAUAGUAAUUCGGUGUAAGCAUUGUAAAAUAUUAAUCUGGAAUUGAUGAACAAGAAUUAAGAAAAGAAAAUAUCCUUCUUUGAAAAUACAUGCUACUGUCAAUAAAAUAAACGACUCCAGUACUAGGAUCGAUAUCCAAGGAAUAUACAUGCUACUGUCAAUAAAAAAAGAAAGACAAAUAUAAAUAAAUUAUCAAAUAAAAAAAUAUAAAUAAAUGGCACGUAAUGUUUAUUUUUCAUUUAUAAUAAAGUUUAAUAUACCAAAUGACUGGUGAGGUACCACCAUACCAGGCGGUGCAUGGAAAGAUGGGGAAUUUGGGACUUCCAGUGUGGCGAGAGACUGAGCAUGAGGGUGCUGCAGCGGCUGGGCAUCACUUAUGAGGUAGCUACUUAAUGACCUGAUCAUUUGAGUUUUGGGGAAUUUGGAUUUUGGAUCAAUUAGUUAGGGAGUUGAGUGAGUUUUGUAACUUUAAGAAAAUAGAAUUUGACUGUAAUUAUUAGUUAUAUCUUUAUUUUUUUACGAUAAGUUUUAAUAAGAGUAAAUUUACAAUUAACUAUUAUUAUUAUAAAAAAAACCUUAGCCUCCUCUUACCUCCGCCCUUGGUACCUGCUAAAACCAAAUACCCAAAUUAUGAAAACGAAGAGCGAGACGAUAUGUUACUGGAUUGUUAUCAAAAUUUGAAGCUAGAACUUAGCAAUUGCCCAAAGAUAAAGAUUUGCUAAGAUUUUAGACCCACAGACUUUUUAGUACCAAUUUAUCUUCUUUCCUUUAAGAAUGAUGGUGAUUUGUAGAGCCAUGCCCUGUAUUCAAAAUAAACAAAUUUGAAGAAUAUAUCUGCUGAUUCCGGUAGGGCAGGAGUCUCAUGCACAAGUUUCUCAUCUAUUUUCUUACCAGAACAAAUUUCUAGUCAAAAUGAGGGUGUGAAAGGAAGAUAAAUAGACGAAAUUUGGCCCACCACUUCAUUCUUCCUAAAUGAAUAGCUUUUUACCCUAUUAAACGAGGAAAAAUGGAUUAGAUUCUCCCUUAAUUUGAUCUGAUUAGUGAUUACUAAAUAAAGACCACACACUUUAUUGUAGUGUGUUUCGUCAUUUAAUACAUUGCAGUUUGUAUGUGGCCCUAGUUUUAGAUCACUUAAUUGGAAAGGGACUUCCCUUUUUUUUUUUUUUUGAUACAUUGGAGUCUAGUAAAACUAGGCUAAAACAGAAUGGGGAAUAGAGGUUCCAUAUAUAUCAUUACAUAACUAAUAACCAAGACCCUCGGGGGGGUUUUCAAAGACAUGAAAUCUAAGGGGUAAGGAACUAGCAAGUUUCACCAUGGAAUCUGCAGCAAAAUUGGCUUCCCGAUAUAUAUACUUUAUAGUAAUGAGCCAUUGUCUAUUUAUAAGUUCCUUUAUGGCAGUUAUGAGAGAAAAAAAUGUGCAUUAGGCAUCAAGCUAGUAGAGGAAAUAAGUUGGGAAACACAUUGGCUAUCCACCUCUGCAAUUUAAUAACGAAUGCCACAGUCCCAAGCAAUAUUAAGUCCUUGAAAAAGACCCCAAAGUUCUGCAGUAGUCACCGAUCCAAAUCCAAUGUUCAUGCCAAAGUCAAACUGCCACUUUCCAGAGCAAUCCCUCACCAAGCCCCCAGCGCUGGCUAGACCAUUCUUUAAUCAUGAUCCAUUAGUAUUUAAUUUGAAAAAAGAUUCAGGGGGAGCUUGCCAUCUAACAUCUUUGAUGAUCUUAUUACUCUGACCGAAACUAAGAGUUGAUCGUGCAUUUUGAAUGUCCUGAGCCCAAGAUUUAAUUUCAGCAACAACAUGAGUGCAGCAAGGGGAUUUUUGUGAGAAAAGAAAUUGAUUAUGCCAAAACCAAAUUUUCCAGAUAGCCACUCCAAAUUGAUUACGCCAAAACCAAAUUUUCCAGAUAGCCACUCUAAAUUGAUUACGCCAAAACAACAUGAGUGCAGCAAGGGGAUUUUUGUGAGAAAAGAAAUUGAUUACGCCAAAACCAAAUUUUCCAGAUAGCCACUCCAAAUAAACAUGCCCAUUCAUCCCCCACUUCAUUGAUACCAGUCUUUCCCAAGUUGAAAUAGAUCCAAUCACGAAUAUUAAAGGAGAAAAAAUGAUGUCUGAAGUUGACCAGAAUUAAACAAUUCCAUAUUCUCUUUGCAACAAAACAGUCCCUAAGUGCAUGCAUCGCGUUUUCUCUCUCAUGGUCACAUCUUUCACAAUUCAUUUUAUCCAGAAUAUGCCUCUUAAAAAGCUCCUCUCUAGUUUUAAAAAAAUUUUAACUCGUUGGGGCCCGGAAAGGGACUUCCUUAAUUAUUUUUCAAAAGCUCAUCCUACAAAACUCCAACAGAUGGAGUCCAAGUUCUAGAAUAGAUGAAUAAAUGAUGUCAAUUAAAUGGCAAUAGCCCACCAAGAAGACAGAGAAACAAGUUAGGAGAGAUUGUAGAGUAUACCAAAAGUAUUACAUCUAAUUAAUAUAUAUAUAUAUAUAUAUAUGUUAUCUGUGUACUUAUUUUAAAAAAUUAUUAUGUAAUUAAUAAUUAUAUUUAAUUAAACUAUACAUAUCAUAUAUGUAUUAGUUAUAUGUAGCACCUAUAUUAUACUCUAGAAUUUCUCACAAGAUAAUAUGUCAAUAUACCACAAACACAAAGUUUGAAUCCUGUGAAAUAUGUUUAAAAUUGACUCUUGUGGAAAUUAUUAUGUGGUGGUGAAAUGAUUAUGAUAAAUAAUAUAUUAACACAUGUCAAUAUAUAAUUAUGCUACAUCAAUGAGGGUACCAUUGGUUUCACAUUUUUAUUUUACGUCUUAACUUUUGUAUUGACAAUAUUAGUUUUGUAUUUUAUAUAUAUAUAUAUAUAUAUAACUACUAAGUUAUUUUUUGCAAUCAAUAAAUAUCUAAUAACUCAAUACUUUUAUAUUUAUGCUCAUAAAAUUUUUACUUUUUAAAUAAAUAUUAAAAUAUCUUUAAAAUAAUAAAUUAUAUUUUUUAAACACUAAUUAAAACAAAUAAUUUUCACAUUUAAUCUUGUUUUAGUUUAUAACAUGGACCAUUCGCUCACCACUUGGCAUAACUUUGUAACCUAGGUCUUGUUUGGAAUCGAAGUAUUACACCUUUUAAGUUACAACUGCCGUAAAAAUUUUGUAAUUAUAAAACAAAAAAUUAAUAGCUAUGAACUUAAUGAUUGCUUACUAAACUUUAGGUAUUUAUUUAUUUAUUUAAUUAAUUGUCUAAAAUUUACUUGUUAAUGUUAUUGACAAUACUUAUGUAUUGAUUAAAAAGAUGAAGUAAGGUAUUGAUCUUAUUGAUCACCAGAAAUAUUUUAUACUAGAUUGACAUAUUUGUGUAUUUAUUUUAACGUUAAAACUUUAAUUUCUCAUUUAUAUUGAUAAAAUUUAGAAAUGGGUAUUAUAUGUAGAUUUUUAAGCUCCUAUUAUAAAUUUAUAGUUUGACUUAUAUAAUUUAAUUUAUUUUUUGUGUUUUUAAAAGUAUUGUUUCAAUAUUUGUGAAGUAAAAACCCAUUGCAGGUUACGCGACGAUUUAGUAAUUGUUAAAACCUACAGUAGGUGAAUUUUUUUUUUAAAAGAAAAAACCCAUAGCGAGUUAAGAAUUUACUGAUUUAAUUACUUUUUUACAAGUGCAUGUUUGAUAAUGAUAAAAUCACUGCACUGAAAGAAAUUCUAUGAAGAAUAUAAUUCUUGUUCUGUAUUUUUAAUGAAAUUUACAGAAUUAUUUAUACAAAUAAAGACAAAGUAGCCGUUGAAAGGCUUAAUAAUAUUAAAGGAGAAUAAGUGAAUACUUCCUAAACUAUUGGACAAUAUCUUUAUAAAAUAGGAAUGAAAUAUUCCUACAUGAUAUUGACAUUCAUGUGCAAAAAUCGUGCUGGAGAUAUUUCUUGACAAAUAACUUUGACGGGAGCAAGUCGUGUGGAGUGAUAAACCCGUUCUUGACUUGACCGUUAAUGACUUUCCUUUUGGUAAUCUUGGUCUGCUUGCUUAACAAGUGGUACCCAUAACCCAUCCAUACAGCUAGGCUAGCUAAACAGCAUAAAUAAAUGUAUAACGAUUCUUAUAUAAAAAGCCACCACCCCAAGCCAAAAGAAAAAAAAAAUUGUGCUGAAAACAACAAUAUAAUUUCUUCAGUUUUUACUUGGAAACAAGAGAGAUGAAUACGAAGAAGCAGAAGCCAAAAGCUAUUGUAGUUGGAGGAAGCAUUGCUGGGGAAUCAUGCGCAAAAGCACUUAUUUCAGCAGACUGGGAUGUUGUUGUGAUUGAGAAAACUAGUGGACCCCCAACCCAAAACGCAACCGGUGCUGGCCUUGGACUCGAUCCAUUGGCUCAGAAAAUUGUUCAGUCAUGGCUCCAUGAACCUGAACUUUACAACAACACUUUACCUGUCACCAUUACUGAGGUAUAUAAUAUAAUAUAUUUAAUUUCUUUUUUCCCAGUAGAAUCCAGUAGUGCUUUGAAUUAUACUGAUCUCUUCAAGAUAUUAGUUGCACACGUGUAUAUACAAUGGUGUAUGGUUAAGAUUUGAUAAAAGUAUAUUUUGCUCUACACAAAGUACAAUUUAGAAUGGAAUCUCAUUGGGAAAAAAAUAUCUAUAUAUGUUGAAUAGAUAAAAUUUCAAUUUGUAUUUAAUUGCAGAACCUAGCAACAGAUGGGGAAAAGAAGAUCAGCUGGGUAAUAGGAAGAGAAGAAGGCGCUAAGUAUCUGACUGCAUAUUGGGCUGAUCUUCAUGGCCUUAUAUACAAUACUCUGCCACCUGAAAUAUUUUUAUGGGGUCACCGGUACCUCUCUUUGUUGAAGUCAACACCAACAAUUUGUUGAAAAAUAAUAAUAAUUAAAAAUUAUAUUUUUAAUUAUUUUAUUCUUAGCAUAGUAAUUCAUGUCUCCUAUAAAUAGCUAAGGAUUUCAUUCAGUCGAAAUCAUCCCAAAAUUGUUAAGCUUAUAAGUUUUUAAGCUUUUGAGAGAAGUGAGAGAAGUGUGUCUGGGGAAUUUAUCUUUCCUGCAGUGUCUGAGAGUACUGGGUAUAUUUGGGUUUCUGGGAAGUGAGAUUCGUUACUCAAAUAUUGUACUCUAUUAAUUGUUAAAUAAACAAUUAUUCUUUCUUGCCUCCGUGGAUGUAGGUUUAAUUACCGAACCACGUAAUUCUUGUGUCCUUUAUUUUUCUAUAAUUAUUUGGUGCGCUUGAUUCCGCAUUCUGCGCACAACACUCUUUCUGUAUUUCUGAAGACAAAUUAACUGUCAAAGUUAGAGCUAAGGAUCUUGAUACUAAUGAAAUAAUCGAGAUAGUAGGAGAUUUGCUCGUCGGAGCAGAUGGGAUCCUCUCAUCAAUUCGUCAGAGCAUUCUACCUGACUUCAAAUUGAGGUUUGUGCUUGCUUGUGAAUAUCAAUAAAAGUAAUUAAUUUUUGAGUAUUUUGUUUCAUAAAUUUCAAUGUGUUUUUAAUAGGUACACGGGAUACUGUGCGUGGAGAGGUGUUUUUAAUUUUUCAGAAAACGAUUCAGAAACCAUCUUAGGCAUUCGAAAAUCGUAUCCUGAUAUUGGGAAAUGCCUUUACACGAAUAUUGGUUCAGGAUCUCACAUCAUAGUCACUGAGCUUAAGAAAGAGAAGUUCAAUUGGGUUUGGUAUGUCAAUCAACCUGAGCCCGAGCUCAAGGUAACUGCUUACUUUUGUUUCAUCUUUCUAUUUUGUUUUCGGGGGUUCGAGUUGAGUGCUAAAAUCUAAUUUUUGCAAACGAUCAACACAGCUCAGACCAUCACCGGAUCCAUUUUUUUUUUUAAUUUUCCAGUUUAUCAAUGCAGUAUGACGUGACAUUGGGAAACAAAUUAUUUUAUUCUCUGCAGGGAAAUACAACUUCUGUGAAAGUAAGCAGUGACAUGAUCGAGGAGUUGCACCAAAGAGCAGAGCAGGUUUGGUUACCUGAAUUGUCAAGAUUGAUCAAAGAAACAAGGGAUCCUUUCCUUAAUGCUAUAUAUGAUUGCGAUCCUUUGGAGAAAAUCAUCUGGGACAGAGUGGUGCUAACAGGAGAUGCAGCUCACCCGACAACUCCACACUCUGCCAGAAGCACAAACAUGGCGAUAAUAGAUGCAGCAGUGUUAGGAAAAUGCCUCGAGAAGUGGGGGCCGGAUCAUUUAUACUCUGCUCUGGAAGAAUAUCAAUCCAUUAGGAAGCCUGUAACUUCAGCACAAGUUCUACAUUCGCGACGAUUGGGUCAAAUGAAACAGGGGUUAAGUAUUCCUGGAAGGGAGCGGCCUUUUGAUCCAAAGACAGCAAGUCUAGAGGACUCGGAAUUCAUCCUUAACAAAAAUGUGCCUCUUUUCGACGUUGUUCCUCCGAUUCUUGAUUCAAUUUUUCGUUCUGCUUGAUAACUUCAAAGGACACGGCUUGGUCUGUUCAUUAUGCUAACUAUAGCUGCCUAUAAAUAAGAGGGUUGACCUCAAUUGUGUGAGUAAAAGAACUGCUAUACUUAUGUUCCUUCCUGUAAUAACGAAAGCCUCUUACUUAAUUCAGUGUCUCUACUUCUUCAGCAAAAUAAAAAUAAAUUCUUGAUCGAAAUACACCCAACUUUUCCAAUUUUCUUAUAAAAAUGACACCACGAUAGGAUGGGAUUGUCCUUGUGUUGUGUCAUUGAUCUAUCCAUAUUUGUUUUUCCCAAAAACAAUUUCCAUGAAGGAGGAUGUUUUGCUGCUUGUUAGUGCACGCUAUUUAAGCACAAGACAUGAUUGAGAUUUAUGCAAGGUAUGUGGUAGAAUUUAUGUAAGACGACCGAUGAUUCAUAAGGAAAGCUAAACAUGAGAGUUAGUAACUUGUACUAUGGUGAUCAACGCGUUGAAGAAAAAUUUUAGAAUUUUUAUUAUAAGUGGUGCAUACAAAAGUUGGUGAGUCGAACUUGUACUCAAAUACUAGCUCAUGUAUUAGGAGUUGCCUUAGGCUUACGUUAUUAAUCUAGUAACUAAUAUUAGCGAUAUGAAAUAUUUUUUUCUAUCAUCUUCCAUCACAUGUGUGUAGGUCAAUCUUUUUGUUUGGUCCUUGUCUAGUGAUAAGACAGUGUGAGUGAUUUUGAGAGAAAAUAUGAAAAACACAAACAAUGAAAAUUCCCUUUUACUUAAACUAAGACAGAUUUUUUUACACUGAAGUUGAUAGAAGACACUCGAAUGCGCAGGAGUGAAAUCUUGACAAAUUAAAGCGAGAACUAAGACAUGCUAGUCCUUUCUCGCGCAUUUAGUUGACAUUAUUUUGCUUUGCAAAUAAAUGCGGGCAUGGUUGAAGGCAUUUUAUCUUUCCGGAAGUGGAUGGAGAAAUAAAUAUAAUUAAAAGGGAUGCGAAUAAUAAAUGCCAUUUUUUUCUGAAUAACGAAGAAUAUAUUAGAAAUAAAUUGAAAUGUAACAAAAUACUUGAAAUAAUUCAAGUGACGGGUUUUUUCUCUGUUAACAACGCGCGAUAGUUCCUUGUCAUGAGCUUCUUAUCUUCUGUCUUGAAGGAAGAAAUUGCAAAAGACGAAUAAAACGAUUUCCUUUACACAUGCAAUCAAUGCUGCUGCCUUUAUAUCUUUAUUAUUCUCGGAGGGAUGACACUGUUGAGAGCCAAAACCAUUACCCAUACUCACUCCUCUUAUAGCCAUGUCUAACUCUCUACAAUAAUUUUGAUAUUGCUGUUCUUCAGUUCUUCCACUACUCAACAAAUGCGAAGGUAUGCGAUGGCUCCACUCAUUCAAGUUGAUUUUACAUUUGUUACAAUCUACUCCCGCCGUUGCUAGAGCCUCUAUGGACAUGUUUUAACAAGGUGAAGGAGGAGCUAAAUAAAAUUCACAAUUUUCCUGAAAGUUUACAGCUUCCAGGAAAUUCACCACCUCUAUAGAAUUGUAAUAACAAGAAUUGUGGUCUCCGUAAAAGAAUUUAUAAGAGUUAAUAUAAAAGAUUUGUUUAGGAGAAUGAAUUUUAUACGGACUAGAAAUACUCAUGAUUAAUUAGUUAUUCAGAUGGUUUAGAAAUCCUCUCGAUAUCAGGAAGCCAUUUAAGAUUCUGAAUUGAGCCUCUUGUACAUAAGCUCAUCAAGGACGGUGUAAGUUCCAGAGGCCAAGUCCAUGUGCACGCCAUUCCCAAGCGUAGGAUAUGCCUUCCGGACGCCUUGUAUGGUUUCUGAAUUCUCAUUUUCCGAAAAAUCAAAAACCCCCCUCCAAGCACAUUCUUUACUUUUAAUUGCUUUGGAAAUUAAGGAUUCGUCAGCCGCCAGAUUCCGCAGUGAUUCUGUUGCAUUGGAUGUCUUCAAUUCAGAAACCUGAGUUUAGAGUCUGGUAAAAAAGUCUGGCGAACUGAUGAGCGGCUCCCGUCAGCCGCAACCAGCAAAUCUCCAGCUAUGUCGAUGACCUCAUCAGUUUUAAGAUUCUUAGCUUUGACAUUGACAGUUGAUUUGUCGUGAGAAAUGCAGAAAGUGAGGUACAAGUGACCCCAAAAAAAAUUUCCGGAGGCAGAGUAUUGUAUAUAAGACUAUGAAGAUCAGUCCAAUGUGCCUGUAAAUAGUUGAAAUUUUCAUCUCUAGCUAGUAUCCGACAGAUAUUCUUUUCCUGAUCUACUGCCCGAUUCUGCACAGAAAGAAAAAUAAAAAAAAUCAGCACAACUUGUGGGAACGUCAGUUGAAAUUAAAGCAAUUCUGUGUAGACACAUACAUUACCUGAUCAAUGGUGAGAGGUAAGGUGAUGUUGUGAAGAAGAUCAGGUUGAUGGAGCCAUGACUUAACUAUUUUCUGGGACAAUGGAUGAAGUGCGAUUCCAGCGCCAGUUGGGUUUCCGGUUGGAGGUCCACGUAUCUUCUCGAUCACCACCACAUCCCAACCUGCUAAAAUAAGCGCUUUUGUGCAUGAUAUCCCUGCUAUGCUUCCCACAACUAUUAUAGCUUUUGGCUUCCGCAUCCCCUCCCUCAUGUCUCUCUCUUCCUCUCAAACACCAGUAUGUGUGACACAAAGGGACGCUCGCGCAUAGAUAUAUUUAUAGACAGGGGAAAACUUCCCAUUCUGAAUUCAUAAAUCAGGAUGAGCCGGCAAUCAUAUGAACAUUUUUUUUAUAUUAUUGUCAAAAAAAUUUUAUACUAUUGUUAAUUUGACUCGGAUUUUAAUAAAAUUUAACAUCUCGAACCAAGUCACUACUCUAGAAAAUUUUUUCAAUCUGAACUUAUAUAUUCCAAUUCAAGAACAAGGUUUAAUAAUGUAAUGACCGUGAAAAUUAUUAAACCAUAUGGUUUAAUAGUGAAUGAUAUUAUACUAUAAAACCAUUUAAUAACUUUUCAAAUUUUAAUAAUAUUCAGGAUUCUAGACUAGAUCAGUACUAUACACACACACAUACACAUGCGGUGUCAGGAAUUAUUUUUAGCAGGCUCUAAGUUUAAAUAAUAAUUUACUUUAAAAAAUAAUUAAAAAAUAACAUAUAUCAAAAUAAAAAUUUAUUAAAAUAUUUAAUUCAAUACACUUAUAGCUGUUCUUGACUUGGUUUUAUAUGUUAAAAAUAUUAAAGAAAAAUCUCAUUAUCAAGGCUACAAAAUAUGUCUUUUUCUAUGUAUAUAACAAAUAUAUCAUUCAACUAUUGUUCUCCCAUUUGAUUUCACAGAUGAUUUUUUAUAAAAUUUAUAGUUGAAAAUGCCCUUUCUACUGUAUCUCUAGUAACUGGUAAAAUCAAUGCUAAUGUCACCAAUAAAUAAACUAAUGAAUAUAAUUUACCCUUCUUAGUCUCACCACAUUGUUAUUUUAUUAUUUAUUUGAAAACUGAUAAUAAAUUAUGAUUAAAUAUGUUCGCAGCAAUUACAAAGUCUUGAUACAAUGUUUCUAUCUCACAUGAUGACGUAACAUCAAUAUCGAUGAUCGCUAAUUAGGGAUUCCAUUAUCCUAUUUUCCCUCUCACAUGAUGAAUAAAUAAACAGCUUUAAAAUCUCGCGUCACCCAAUGUCUAGAAUGUACCCGGAGGCCGCAGCCUCAAAAGUAGUUAAAUUAAAUUCAAACUCUACAAACUCAAUAACAUGAUUACGUCUUAUUCUUUCUUAAUUGAAGUUGAUUUUUCAAGGAGGCAAUUUGUCCCGUCAUAUGCAGCCAAGUUAGAACGAAAAAAUGCUUAAUUCAAAUCUCACGGUCUUGAAGAAAUCUUUCUAGUCAAAAUAAACUCUCAAGUCAGAUUUUUCAAUCUGGCGAUAUGAAAUUUGCCUAAUAAAUCUCUACAUUCAGACAUCACGUUUAUGAAACCCUUGCAUUCAGAAUAAAUUCUUGCGGUAUAUCAAAAAAAAAAAAAAAAAAUCUUGCGGGUAAGGGGGAUCAAGUGCAAGAAUAAAGUUUGAUAAAAAUGAAUAAAAGGAAUAAGGUGAAUGUUUGUUGUGGUUUAUUUAGCAUAUGUUUGUUGUGGUUUAUUUAAUAACUAAAAGUUUUUACAAGUUUUUUUCAAAAUUUUUACUGUUGUUUGUUAGUAUUUUGGAUAGAGAGCUUUUGAGAAUUAAAUAAGUUAUUUUGCAUCUACAAAUAAAAGUGUAAAUUAAAUAAGUUAUUUUGGGCUUUUGGGAACAAAAGUUGUAGAGCAUUUUUCAAGUGUUCAAUUAUCUAACAUACCUUUUAUUUAUUUUACAUUUUUAUUCCAUUCUUUUCAUAGUAUGAUUUUAAAUAAAUUGGUCAAUUAAAGUAAUUUUAUAAUUUAAAUUUUUUAAUAAAAGUUCAUAUUGACAACCAAAUAAUUAAAAUAUUUUAGUAAAUCUCCACUUGAAACAACUUAAUUUUAUUAAAAGCUAGAGCAUAGAGUCAGUGACAACGCAGAAAUAUAAAAAGUUGAUUGAUAGAAGAAAUUAGGUUUCUAAAUAAUAAAAGUUUUGUUAGAAAAGUUUAAAUGAACAAAACUAGUGUUUUGAGCUCCUGUUAUAAUAAUCAUAAAUAUCACGAAUUUAUCAUAAUAAAAAAAAUUAAAAUAUCAUUUUAUAAUAAAAGGAAAAUUAUCAUUCGUAUACCCUAUAUUUGCUCUGUUAUCAAAAAUACUACAAUACUUUGAGAGUGUAUCAAUCGUCCACCCUAAGUUGACGAAAUGUAUUAGCCGACCACCAAACCGUUAAUUUUCGUUUGAAAGUUAACGGAAUUACAGUGAAUUAAUGAUUUUACCCUUGAAAAUUAUCACUUGUAUACCCUUAAAUUCUUUUUUUAUCACUUGUAUACCCUUAAAUGAUCACUUUUAUCAUAUGAAAAGACCAGAUUACCCUUAUGAAGUUAUCAUAUUUAAACGGCAACUAACGAUUUGGUGGUCGGCUGAUACAUUUUGUCAACUUAAGGUGGACGAUUGAUAUACCCUCAAAGUGUUGUAGUAGUUUUGAUAAUGGAGUAAACUAAGGGUAUACAAAUGAUAAUUUCCCAUAAUAAAAUCUCAUAAUCUAAAUAAAGAAACCACAAUAAACAACACCCAAAGCCAAUAUCUAAAAAAAAAGAUAAAAUCAUAAAAUUAAUAGGAAAAAUAGAAAAAUAACCUAAUGCUGAAAAAUGAUGAGGAAAAAAGUAACACUUUUAAAUCGAUCACGGGGCAUAACUAUGCGAGCUAUUAUGUUUGGUUUGUCUCAUUGCAGGCUUCGAAACAGUAUAUUAGAUACCUAAAACGAAUCCCUGUAACCUUAGUUAUGACCUCUAGAAAAUAAUCUGCUCAUCUUACGCAACAAUCCUACAUUAGCUAGCCCAGUUUGGGAUUGUGAUGACUGUUGAAAAUGUGAUUAAAAAAAAAAGUGUUAAAAUGAUGGGCAGUUGAGCCACCAUCUUUGAAUUCAAAGACGGUGGGUGGCUAAGCCAGUCACCAUCAUUGAACAAGGAAAAUGGGUGGGUGCCGCUCAUGCAAAGAAGAAAAAGAGGAAGAAAAGGAAGCCAAAAUUUGGCUAUAAAUAGAGGGGUUCUCCCCGUCAUUUAGGUAUCCAAGUUUUGGCAAGAAAUUGAGAAAGAGAAAUAUUUUUAAGCACGUAGUUAUAUUGAAGGAGUAUUUGACUCUUCAAUAUGGGUAUUACGGGUUUGCUUUGUUAGGGAAUAUUUAUAAGAAUCAUGUAUUUGGGGCUUGGGUGAGAGAAAAUUAUUUAUGAGAAAGUGGUUGUAAAAAUUUUCCACAUAGUGAAUAUUUUUUCUCUGAUUGUCUUUUGACAAUGGCCGUGGUUUUUCUCCGUAUUUGGAGUUUUCCACGUAAAUAUUGCGUUAUGUGAUUGGUGUAUUCUCCAUUUAAUUUUUCUGUUAAUUUGUUGCUUGACAAAUUGCUUGAAGUGAUCUUGGAGGAAGCCUAACAAUGACUUGUGAAAAAAACCGCUUCUAUAAAGCGAAUGAAUAAUCUACUUAUUAAAAUAGUAGCUUGGUGUUUAAUAAAGUGUGUUGUUGUAGUUGCUUUGAGUUUGGAAAAAAAUUACAUGUGUUUGAUAGAUUUUAUUGCGAAUGUGAUGUUUUGUUAUAUAAUGACCAAAAUAAUCAUAAUUUAAUUUUUUUAUUUAUAGAUUAGGAUGCAUGAAAAAUAAGAUGUAAUUGUUUCUUUGUUCAAACACUAAGGGCGUGUUUGGCAGCCCUCAUUAUAUAGUAUUAGGACUCCUCAUAGCAUUAAAUACUUAGAAUAGGGUUUGGCUACAAUGCCAGGCUCUCAAAAAGAGAGCCCGGCUGUCUUUGGCUGCCAUUUGGCAGCCAAAGACUUGGUGCAGCCAAUUAACAAACCGGUUGCACCAUAUUUUUUUUAAAAAAUAUAUAAAAAAUACAAUAUAAAAAUUAAAAAAAUUCAAAAUAUUUUUUUAUAAUAUAAUUAAUAGCAAAAGAUAAAUAAAUUAAAUAAUAUAAUACAAACCCUAUAAUACAGUAUAAUAUAAUGAAAUAAAAUGGCAAAAAAUAAAGAAAUUGAAAAUGAAAAAAAUAGUAUUUCAGGUUUAACGUUAGUUGUUGCAUGUUUGACGUCUUGAUUGCAUGUUUGACGUAAGAUGUUGCAUGUGUUAAAUAAAGCCAAAAUAAAGAAUAUUCCCGAAUAUUCUCGUCCGUUUCAUGUUUGACGUUGAAGUUGCGAACUUUACGUGAUAAGUUGCACAUUUCGCGUGAAGUGUUGCAAGUUUUAUAUUUAACGUCCGUUGUUGCAUGUCGGACGUCACGGUUGCAUGUUUGAGGUAGGCUGUUGCAUGUGUUGAAUAAAGCCAAAAUAAAGAAUAUUCCCGAGUAUUCUUGUCUAUUUCAUGUUUGACGUCGAAGUUGCGAACUUUACGUGAUAAGUUGCAUAUUUCGUGUGAAGUGUUGUAAGUUUCAUGUUUAACAUCCGUUGUUGCAUAUCGGACACCACGGUUGCAUGUUUGACGUAAGCUGUUGCAAGUGUUGAAUAAAGCCAAAAUAAAGAAUAUUCCAGAAUAUUCUCAUUCGUUUCAUGUUUGACGUCGAAGUUGCGAAAUUUACGUGAUAAGUUACAUAUUUCUCGUCAAGUAUUGCAAGUUUCAUGUUUAACGUCAGUUGUUGCAUGUUCGACGGAUGGAGUUCAUAUUUGAUGUAAGGUGUUGCAUGUUUUGAAUAAAGCCAAAAUAAAGGAUAUUCCCGAGUAUUCUCGUCCGUUUCAUGUUUGACGUCGAAGUUGCGAAUUUUACGUGAUAAGUUGCAUAUUUCGCGUGAAGUGUUGUAAGUUUCAUGUUUAACGUCAGUUGUUGCAUGUUCGACAGAUGGAGUUCAUAUUUGACGUAAGGUGUUGCAAGUGUUGAAUAAAGCCAAAAUAAAGAAUAUUCCCGAAUAUUCUCGUCCGUUUCAUGUUUGACGUCAAAGUUGCGAAAUUUACGUGAUAAGUUACAUAUUUCUCGUCAAGUAUUGCAAGUUUCAUGUUUAACGUCAGUUGUUGCAUGUUCGACGGAUGGAGUUCAUAUUUGACGUAAGGUGUUGCAUGUUUUGAAUAAAGCCAAAAUAAAGAAUAUUCUCGAAUAUUCUCAUCCGUUUCAUGUUUGACGUCGAAGUUGCAAACUUUACGUGAUAAGUUGUAUAUUCCGCGUGAGGUGUUGCAAGUUUCAUGUUUAACGUCAUUUGUUGCAUGUUCGACGGUUGGAUUUCAUGUUUGACGUACGAUGUUGCAUGUUUUGAAUACAACCAAAAUAAAAAAUAUUCCUGAAUAUUCUCGUUUGUUUCAUGUUUGACGUCGAUGUUGCGAACUUUACGUGAUAAGUUGCAUAUUCCGCGUGAGGUGUUGCAAGUUUCAUGUUUAACGUCAGUUGUUGCAUGUUCGACUAUUGGAUUUCAUGUUUGACGUAUGAUGUUGCAUGUUUUGAAUAAAGUCAAAAUAAAAAAUAUUCCCAAAUAUUCUCAUCAGUUUCAUGUUUGACGUCGAAGUUGCAAACUUUACGUGAUAAGUUGUAUAUUCCGCGUGAGGUGUUGCAAGUUUCAUUUUUAAUGUUAGUUGUUGCAUGUGUGAUGGGAGGAUUUCAUGUUUGACGUACGAUGUUGCAUGUUUUGGAUAAAGCCAAAAUAAAGAAUAUUCUCGAAUAUUCUCUCCCGUUUCAUGUUUAACGUCCAUGUUGCCAACUUUACGUGAUAAGUUGCAUAUUUCGCGUGAAGUGUUGCAAGUUUCAUAUUUAACGUCUGUUGUUGCAUGUUCGACGGUUGGAUUUCAUGUUUGACGUACGAUGUUGCAUGUUUUGAAUAAAGCCAAAAUAAAGAAUAUUCUCGAAUAUUCUCGUCCGUUUCAUGUUUGACGUCAAAGUUGCAUAAUUUACGUGAUAAAUUGCAUAUUUAACGUGACUUGUUGCGGGUUUCAUGUUUUACGUCUAUUGUUGCAUGUUGGACGUCGCGGUUGCAUGUUUGACAUUAGAUGUUGCAUGUCUUGAAUCAAGCCAAAAUAAAGAAUAUUUCUGAAUAUUCUCGCUUGUUUUAUAUUUGACAUCAAAGUUGUAUACUUUACGUGAUAGGUUGCAUGUUUGACGUAAAAUAUGGUAGGGUAGGUUUAUAUAAAAUAACUAAUUAUAAAAUGAGAGUGCAUUUCAAAAUUCCUUGACAAAUCAAGUGAUAAUUUAUAACUAGACUUAUUUUUUUCAAUUUUUUUUUAUUAAUUAAGUUUAAUUAAGCCAAUCUAUUAAGAAACAAAUGAAAAUAUAUUAAAAUUAAAUUAAAUUUAACUUUUACCCAAUAAAUAUAUUUAGGAAUAUAUCUAAUUAAACUGGUACACAAAUUACAAAUGUUUUCAUGAAAUUACACACAUAAGUUUAAUAGUCUAACUAUUUUUUACAUGAUUGAUAAAAUGAUGGCUUUGGAAAGAACUUGUGAUUCGAAAAGAAAAAUCUAGUUAAUUAUAAUAAAAUUACAUAUCUAAUCCAACAUUUUUUCCUUAUUUUAGUCAGAUAAUAGUUUUGAAAAUAAUUUGAUAAUUCAAGUGAUAAUGUCUAUUCUUAUUUGUUGUAUAAUAAUUUUUUAGGUGCAUUUCAUUUCAUUUUUAUUUUUUUAGAGAAUCUAAUCAUGGUGGAUAUUUUAAAUUACUAAGUCAUGAAAAUUUUGAAUUCAAUUGAAAUUUACAAUCUUUUAUGAAUGAAAAUAUACAGCAAGACAAAAAAAUUGAGAGAUAAAAAGAAAAUGUGGUAGAAAGAAAAGGCAACAUCAAUAUGAUCAUUUUCUAAGAAAAAUUAAGGCAAAAUCUUCCAAGUGAUAUGGUCAAUUUCAAUAAAAUUACAACUUACUAGAGUAAAUCCAUCUACUAAACAUCCAAAGUUCACAACAUAAUAUUUGAAUAUCACCAAUAACAUCCUCAAUCCGAUGAGUUGAGCAUUGGAGGGUUUAUGUUAGAAAAAUCUCCGACAUCCCUUGACUAGUUGUUAUGAACGCAAGCAUCCUUGGAGAAAGAGCUUAAGGUCCCAAGAGCCUAUUCGAUAAGAAAGAUAGAAGUACAAACCGACUCCCCAACAACUACUAAUUUAAGUGUUGGCGUGGUUGUCUAUUCACUUCACAGCUCGACGAGAAUUCAACAUCAACAAAUAUUUUAGAACCUAGUGUAUCUUCAAUCAUUUUGGAUUAAAUUGUAUGACACUUUUUUCUUUUCUUCUCUUUUUUUGUGAAAACAAAUUUUAAUACACUUAUUUUAAAAGAAAUUUGUUAAUGAAAAACAAAAUAAUGACAAUGAAGAGCACUCAUUUAUAAAAAUAAGCUACAAAUAGAAAAAUAAAAUUCAUAUAAGUAGAAUCUCCCAAAAAAUAAAAGCAUUGUCGAAUUGAGUUACAAACUAAUAAUAAUUUCAUCAAAGUUUGUAAACCAAAGAUUGUCCUAAUAUCAAAAAGUUUCCAAUAAAACACUUAUGCCAAAUAAUUUAUAGAACCUAGUAAUAUCCAACUGAAUUCUCCCCUGCAAAUAAUUAAAAUUUUCAAGUUAGUCAAUAAGAAAAAACAGCCAUCAAUCAUAAUAAGAAGCAACAGCAAAUUACACUAAAAAAAGGCAGAAAAAAGCACCAAAACAAAUAUAAACAAGAAACAACAAUUAAAAAAAAAACCCCAAAAUGGCAUAAAAAGAUGCUCAAAGCAGCAAUAAAUUUAUUAAAAAAUACCCUAAAAUAGCAGUGAAAAGUGCUUUAAAAAGCAUUAAAAAAUCCAAAAACAAUAGUAAACAUGCCUAGAAACAGUAGAAAAAAACCCCCUAAAAUAGCAAGAAAACUGCCUAAAACUAGAAAAAAAAUCUAGCAGCAAAAUCUUCCAUUGCCAAAUAAAGCUAUGAAAGAAAAGAAAUAAAAUUCAUAAAGAGUCAAAGCUAACAUACUGACCACUUGCUAGAAAUUAAGCUAUAAAUCCCAAAUUUUUACACAAAUUAGUAUCUGAAACAAGAUUGGUUUGAUAUAUGAUAGUCAAGUAAAAUACCUAUAAAGUAGUACAAAUUCAGCAAACCUAAUGGCUUCACUCCACUCAUUUUCUUAAGACUCCAGUGAUGAGAAGCCGCCAACAGAAUGAUAAAUUGAGGUUUGACAGGAAGCACACAAACUAAACAAGAUACAUAACAACUUUGUUAUCCAUGUUACACCCUAGAACCAUUUCUAGGAAUAUUUGUUAGAAUAGCCACCAUAACAGUUGAUGAACAACAUAAAACAAAGACAACAACAAAACCAACAACCUGCAAAGUGCCAAUUCUUCCAUAAUUAAAUCAGAUACACAAUAGAAAUAAUUUACUAUUAAAAUCCCAAAUUCAUUUUAUCUUCUUCCUGCAUUUUCUCAUCAAUCAAACAUAAAAGAGAGCUCCUAUCGACACAUGCAAACAGUACCCACCAUCUUGUCACGUUCAAACACAACCCAAGAUCACAAAAGUUAAUUUUUCAGAUUUAGUUAACCAAAGAAAAUAUACCAUCAACUGGAUCACCUUAUAAAUCAAAUACAAUUCCACGAUAUUACCAACCUCCCAAAAAAAAAGGCACAAAGUUUAAAAUGAAAACAACAAGACCAUGAAAAAUAAGCAAAAGUGGGUAUUUAAAUCAAACAUGAUAGAAUGCAACAAAAGCAAAAAAGCUUUCGAUAGAAGCCAGAGCCAGAUGGGGUACAAGCAAGCUAGGAGGUACCAAUUAAAGAUGCUUCAUUCAAGAACAGAAAAGCUACCAGAAUGAUAAAAAUAGAAAAAAUGAAACAAUAAACAUAAACUUGGGUGAAAGCUGCAACAAUAGUUUCAAUCACUUAACAGUACCAGCAAACUUAUAGUAAACUUUAAGAACUAGAUGUUUAAGCCACAGAUAACGGGGACGUACCCAUGAGGAUAAAGACACAAGCGUGAGACCAGCAAAAAGUCGAAUGAAAAAGGAGGCAACGACGGUAGCGACGGAAACAGCUGGAUCGAAAGCGAACAGCUCAAGAUGAAAGCAACAAGUUAAUGGAUUGGAUUGUGUGCGCGAGAUGUGGCUUCGAUUUUAUUUGAUUAGUCAAGAAAUCGAAGAGAGAAAUUAGAGAGAAAUUUGUGAUUUCUGAGAGAGAGGCAAGAAAUUGAGAGAGAUUGGGCACGGUUGAAACACCUAAAUUACAAAAAUAUAAAUUUUGCAGCCUUUGGGAACUGGUUGCUUCGGUUGCCCUUUUUUUGUUUUUUUUUUCUUUUCAAUGUCAGCCGUUGGAUUCAUUUUACUUGAAUCCAACGGCUGCGUUUACAAGCCGGCACGAUGCCGGGCCUCAAUGCCCGGUAUUGUAGCUUUAGCCCUUAGAAUAUCAUGUUUGGUGACUAUUCCUCACUGUAUUUUUAUGUGGUCAAAAGAAGCUUGUAAUGCGGUCAAACCCGCAUAAAAUAAACUCGUGUGAGAGUCGGGUUUAUGCGGGUUUGUAAUUGUUUUGAGACAAAAAAAAAAUUCGCUUUCAUUUUCGUUCUCCUUGUCUGUGUAGUGGCUCGCCUGCACCUCCACACAUCCACUCCACAAAUCUCAACUCCACACCACCACUGCCUCAAACACCACCAGCUCCAUGUGAUCUGCCUUUAUACCGUCACUGUCUCACGACACCACCGUGACACCACCAGCUCCAUUGUCUUCCCGAUCUACCUCCGCGACGUGCGAGACCGCUGCGCGGCAUGCCUUCGCGACACUCCACCACCAUGCUCCACUGCCUUCAUCAUGCCGUCGUGCCUUCGUCAUUUUUGAAACUGUGAGGGUCUUAUCUUUGUGUUAGUAUGUUAGAUCAUGCAUGCUUUUUUUGUGCUUGGUUUGAUUAUUAUUCUUUUAGAAAAAGGAUCAUUUGUUGUUUUUGUGAUUUACUUAGUUUCUAAUAUAUCUUCAGUUAAGAAAAUAGAAUGGAGUCUUCUUGUUGCCUUUAAAUUAAAUUGAUAUUUUGUUUGAUUAUGUUAUUGUGAGGCUUUGAUUGAGAUUUUGUUACUUUAUGUUGUGAAUGGAUGAGUUUAUAGAUCUAUGCCCGACAAUUGUUUGAUGAAUUGUCUAAAAGAAAAAGAAUUUGGUGCUUUGCUUCACUAAUUGUGGCCUAGAAAUUAUUACCACAUGUAGAAGUAUUUCCAAUCCGUAGUUGACUUUACAUUAAGAAAAAAUUAUCCUAAUUGUUUGGCUAAAGUAUUUUUGUGGGUGGAUUUUUGGCAAAUGUAGCUUCAGCCUUCAUGUGUAAACCAAAAAAAUAAAUAAAUAAAAUCUCGCAGGAUUGUACUUCAUUAAUGCAAUACCAAAGCACAAGAUGAAGCGUUAUUGUCUGUGAAUGGUUAUUUUUGGAAUGAAACAGGUGGCUUGUAAAAUUUGCAAUUAUUCUUGACAACUAGUACUUUCGAUUCUGGAUUUGCAAAUUAAUAGUAAUAAACAUCAUGUAAUGGUAGAGAAAUUAAUAUUGAAAAAGGAACUUGAAAAUCAUUAAGAUGAAAUCUUAUGAAUUUACUUUAGUUCUUGAAAGGAAGUAUUGAGGCAAAACAGAAUUAAAGAACAGAGCUAUUCUAGAGCCAUUAAAUUUAGAAAAGAACCAAAAAAAAAUUAAGUUAAUGAUUAGAAGAAACAACGAUCUGAUAUAAAGGAAUUUGAAAUUAUAUUGAUAAGAAACCAAACUUAUCUUUUUACGUUAUGACCUUGUGCAGUGUCACCAUGGGUAACUUUUUUAGCAUAUGUAUGGCUUCCAUUGCUGACUUUGCUGUCAUGAUUUUGCCUCAGUAUUUUGUUUUACUACUGUUUUGAUUCUUGACUUAUUCUGCUUUUGGUCAUAUCUGUAUGGCUAGAUAUUGCAUUUUCUCAUCUUUGAGGAUGCCUUCUUGCUUGACAACAAACUUUUUCUGCUUCUAUUACUCGAAUCUAUCUCGUUCAAGGAUCUAAUGGCAAAAAAUUUAAGACCUCUAUAUUUAGUUUUUUUAAGUACUAAUAAAUAUUAUUUUAUAAAUAUAUAAUAUAAAUUAAUCACAAAAAAUUAAUACAGUACAAUGCAACACCAAACAUAGUAUAACUAAAAAUUAAUACAGUACAGUGCAACACCAAACAUUGUACAACAUUGUUAUAAUACAGUGUUAAUGCAAUACAGCAUAAUAUAAUACACCAGCAUAAAAAUAAUGUAAUACAACAUAAUACAAUACAGUGUGUCAAACGCACCCUAAGGCUAUAAUAGGAACUUAAAAAAGGUGUGGUGUCUUAUUUGAUACUUAUUUAUAAAUAGCAACUGUACAUACUUUGAAAAGUUACUGUAAAAAAAAAAAGAAACUUAUGAAAUAAGUGGCUUUUAAAAAAUUUAUCUAACACUAUUUAUUACUAUAAGAGAGCUCUAUAUAUAUUAAAUUCUUUUAGGUAAAUUAAAUUUUGCCCCUUUGAUUUUGAGGUCUGGCUACAUCACCGAUUGAAGCUUGUGAUUUUUUUAUUUACUAGUGCAUGAAAUCUUUAAUUUUGUUAAUAUAUUAGUGGCAUCAAUGAAUUAUUCUCUCUUUCUCUCUAUAUAUAUAUGAGAAAGGUGAUCAGGUCUGCAACUAUAUAUCAAACUCCUAGAUUUUUUUAAUCUUAAUCUUCAAUGAAUUAUUACUAUAAGAGAACUGAUCAAGUGCGUGGCUAUAUAUCAAACUCCGAAAUUUUUGGUAUUGUAGGCAGUUUUGAUCUUAAUCUUUGGCUAAGGGUAUAAUUGGGAUUGCAUUAGCUUGGUAAAUAAUCUAUCCUCAUAUAAAUUCUCCAAUAACUAACUUUGCAAAUAAUUUGAUGAGAUGUUUGGUAAAAUUGGAUUAUAAGGUAGGGAUGGCAAUGGGGAGGGGACCAAUAUCCCCAUACCCAUCUCCGAUAUUUUGCGUAUGUCCCCGUCCCCUCUCCGUCCCCGUCCCCGUCAGAAUUACUUGAGAGAAUCCUCAUCUCUUCCCCGAAUAAUAACAGGGGAUCCCCGAGGGUCCCCGAUCCCCGAAUAACUAAUAGUCUAAUACAUUAUUUUUAUUUUCGUUUUUAAAUUAAUCAUAUUAAAAUAAAAAAUUCAGAUAAAAAUAAAGUUCAAAAUAUAUCUUACAUUAAUAUUGAUCCAUUACAAAGUCACAUUCAAAAUAUAAAUUAUUAAAAUAAUUAUAAAACAAUGAAAAUAAUAUAAGUAAAGUAACUUAUAAGUGCAAAUAUUAAUAACUGUAUAAUAUAAUCACAAUGUAAAAUAAACUCAUACUGUUAUUGUAAGCUCGUAACCAACUUUGACAGCACAUUAAGGCCUCCAAUGUGCUUGGAUGAAGUUUGUUACGAUGUGGGCUCACAACUCUACCACCAGUACUAAAAGUUGAUUCAGAAGCAACUGUUGUAAUUGGAAUUGCCAAAAUAUCUCUAGCAAUUCGAGCUAAUGUAGGAUACCUAUUAGCAUUUAAUAAUAUAAAUAUUUUGAUAUUUAUUAUUUUUAACAAUAUUUAUAAUUUUAUUAUUUAUUUAUUAGUAAUUUUAAAAAUAAAAAUUAAAUUAAAAAUUAAAAUGGGGAAAUAGGUAGGGGAUGGGGAUUCCACCUCAUCCCCGUCCCCUCCCCGAAUAAAAAAUUGGGUAUAAAAUUAUCCCAGUACCCUCUCCGAAUGGGGAAAAUCCCCGAAGGUACCCGUCCCCGUGGGGAUUUUUGCCAUCCCUAUUAUAAGGAAAUCAAUUAUUAAAUAAUUUACUUAACAUGUUUGUCGUAUUAAUCAAAAAAUUGUGUUGUGUGCAAAUUACCAAGAUGGACAAGUUUUCUUAUAUAGUAAUAUAUAAUGAUAAUUAUGACGAUUUAUUNNNNNNNNNNNNNNNNNNNNNNNNNNNNNNNNNNNNNNNNNNNNNNNNNNNNNNNNNNNNNNNNNNNNNNNNNNNNNNNNNNNNNNNNNNNNNNNNNNNNAAUUUCUUUUUGCAUUCCAUUCUUUGUUGAACUAUUUAUUGCACGAGUGGAGGACGAAUUCUAAAUACAUUUGAAAUAAUACAAUCAACCAAUGCAUGCACACCACUUGUAUGGAGAUUUUUCAAAAAUAAAUGCACACAUGUCAUAACAUUAUCUACUUGUUAUAUGACUGGCAUGAUAUUUUUUAUGUAUUCUAAAAUUUUUCUGAGUGGAGACCAUGAGUGGUAACAUCCACGUGACAAAAGAGUAUUACAAAGAGAUAGUCUCUUGUCAAUUUGAAUAUUUAUUGUAUUGAAUCUACUAAGUAUAUAAGCUCGGACAACCCUAAUUUCAUGAUGAGGGGUUAAAGACAAUACUAUUCUAAAAGAAAAUGGAACGAAAUUGUCCAUCCAUAGCCAUUAUUUGACUUUUAGAUUUGCCCUUCCAAAUUUUAACAAAAUGCGCAGACGAUUUUUAAUUUAUUCAUGUGAACGAAGUACAACCAAAUUAUUGAACCAAUCAGAACCAAGAUGGAAAUGAUCAUAAGCAAAAGCAAUUUGCAAGGACGAAUGGAAGCAGAUAAAUUAUUCUAAUUAAGAGACUAAGUGCAAGUGAAAUAACUGUAGCACUGAUUAUUCGAGUAUGGAGGGAACGUCGUCGAAGAAGGGUAAACGUCUCUGUUUCAGGAUUUCACAAUCCUCAGGACUUGCUGUGUUUGGAUCAAAAGGCUCACGAUCAGGGGUAGGUAAGCCGAGUUUUAUUUGACCCACUCGCCGCGAAUGCAGGACUUGCUUGGUAGUGACAGGUAGCCUAACAGAUUGAUGUUCUUCCAGAGCUGAAUGUAAAUUUUCUGGCCCCCACCUCUCAAGGCAUUUACCUAAAACUGCUGCAUCAGCUAUGGCCAUGUUUGUGCUUCUUGCACAGUGAGGGGUUAUGGGAUGAGCCGCAUCUCCAAUUAAGACCACAUUGUCCCAGUAUAUUAGUGUCAAAGGGUCACAAUCAUAUAUAAGGUUAAGGAAAGGCUCCUUUGUUUCUUUUAUUACUCUUGCAAACUCAGGAACCCAAAUCUUCUCUGCUUCUUGGUGCAUCUUCUUGAUCAUGUCACUGCUCACUUUCAUUGUAGCUGAAUCUCCCUGAAAUUACUUAAUCAAUUUAUUAAAGCUAGCUCUGCUAACACGUAUGUAUAUAAAUGAUAAAAUGAAGCAAGUUAGGCAAUCGCCUUGAGUUGAGGCUCAGGUUGAGAGAUAAACCAAAUCCAAUUGAGCCUCUUGUACAUAAGCUCAUAAAGGACGGUGUGAGUUCCAGGGCCCAAGUCCACGUGCACGCCAUUCCCAAGCUCAGGAUAUGCCUUCCGGAUGCCUUGUAUGGUUUCUGAAUUCUCAUUUUCCGAAAAAUCAAAAACACCCCUCCAAGCACAGUAACCUGUAUACCUGAAAAACAGAAAUGAAAAAUAAACCGUAAAUUUCAAGACAACCGAAAAUAUGAAAAUAUAAUAUAAUUUGUGCAGAAACCUGAGUUUAGAGUCUGGUAAAAAAGUCUGGCGAACUGAUGAGCAGCUCCCGUCAGCUGCAACCAGCAAAUCUCCAACUACGUCGAUGAUCUCAUCAGUUCUAAGAUUCUUAGCUUUGACAUUGACGGUUGAUUUGUCGUGAGAAAUGCAGAAAGUAAGGCACAAGUGACCCCAAAAAACUAUUUCGACAGGUAGAGUAUUGUAUAUAAGACCAUGAAGAUCAGUCCAAUGUGCCACUAAAUAGUUGAAAUUUUCGUCUCUAGCUAGUACCCGCAGAUGUUCUAUUCCCUAUCUACUGCCCGAUUCUGCACAAAAAGAAAAAUAAAAAAAGUCAACGCAAGAGCUCAAAUUAAAGUAGUUCUGCGUAUAUACGUACAUUACCUGACCAAUAGUGAGAGGUAAGGUGAUGUUGUGAAGAAGAUCAGGUUGAUGGAGCCAUGACUUAACCAUUUUCUGGGACAAUGGAUUAAGUGCGAUUCCAGCGCCGGUUGGGUUUCCGGUUGGAGGUCCACGUGUCUUCUCGAUCACCACCACAUCCCAACCUGCUAAAAUAAGCGCUUUUGCGCAUGAUAUCCCUGCUAUGCUUCCCCCAACUAUUAUAGCUUUUGGCUUCCGCAUCCACUACCUCAUGUCUCUCUCUUCCUCUCAAACACCAGUAUGUGUGACACAAAGGGACGCUCGCGCAUGGAUAUAUUUAUAGACAGGGGAAAACUUCCCAUUCUGAAUUCAUAAAUCAGGAAGAGCUGGCAAUCAUAUGAACAUUUUUUUAUAUUAUUGUCAAAAAAAUUUUAUACUAUUGUUAAUUUUGAUAAGGACAAGUCACAAGCAACAAAUAUGGUAGCUUGUACCGCCAUGGCAAGAGGAUUUCCAACAUCUCGUCUAAGCCAUAAUUGAUGGAAAAUAUAGCAACACAUGUCAUGGUGGACUCAUCACAACGGCUAGUUGAUUAUUAUAAUUAUUGUAAAUAUUGUCUUUCCUUGUACAACAUCUUGAACGUCUUUAUAUAUUUGUAAAAAUCAAGAAUUGAAAAAGUAACAAAAACAAUUCCUAUUUUCACCAUAUUCAAGCAUCUCAAAUAUUUUCAUGGUAUCAGAGCCUAAUGGCUUCAAGUUCAAAUUCAGAACCAUCCCUAUCCCUUCAAUCUUUCCAUCAGUGUUCGAGUUUGGUUCCAAUAAAACUCAACACUGAAAAUUAUCUUAUUUGGAGUUCUCAAGUUCAACCACUUAUAUUUACCCUUGGGCUAAAUCACCAUAUAGUUGAUGUUAAGACUCCACCAAAGAUGAUAGAGCAAGAUGGGAAGGAGAUAAAUAAUCCAGAUUUUCUCAUGUGGAAAAAUAAUGAUGGACUUCUCACAACUUGGCUCAGAAGUAUGAUGAACGAAGACGUGUUGAGCAUGGUUAUCGGCUUGCAAACGGCUCGAGAAAUCUGGCUCACCGUUGAAGAAAACAUGCUGCCUGCAACUAAGGAGCAAGAAACAUGGCUAAAAGAUAGCCUUUAUUCUCUAAAGAAAGGAUCUUCCAAGCUUGAUGAAUUUCUUAAGAAAUUCAAGGGCCUUUGCGACAAGUUGGCAGCCAUUGGAAAACCAAUGAAUGAUGAUGACAAGAUUUUUCAAAUUGCAAGAGCCUUAGGUCCCAAAUAUGCUGACUUCAAAACUGCAAUGCUCACUAAACCUCCAUAUCCCAGCCUUAAACAAUUCAUCAAUGCUCUCCAAAACCAUGAACAUACUGUGAUCGUAGAAAAAGAUGAAUAAGCUAGACUUGGCACAAAUCAAAACCAAGCCUUCUUUGGUCAACGCGGAAGAGGCAGAAAUCAAAGAGGUGGAAGACCUCCAUACCGAGGCAGAGGAUCUCAACGCAACUCAGGUGGUAGAAAUUACCCCAACAACUACAACAAUUACAAUGGCAACAACCGUAAACCACAACAGCAGCCUCAAAAACCAAAUAAAGAAAAUAAUACCUCAGAUGAAGAAGUUAUUUGCCAAAUCUGUCACAAACGCAAACAUAGUGCUGCUGAAUGUUGGUACAGAUACAACUAUGACAAUGAAGAGGAUCCACAGGCCCUAGCUGCCAUGAAUCUUCAAGAAAAUAAUGAUCAACAGUUCUAUGUGGAUUCUGGAGCAACAUCACACAUGACAAAUAACACAGGUAAUCUUGAUCAUGUAAGGCCGUAUAGAGGUAAUGACAAAAUAAUUGUCGGCAAUGGUCAAGAUUUAAAUAUUUCACAUAUUGGUUCUGCUUCUUUAAAUACAAAUCAUGGUUCUUUACACUUAAAUAAUAUUUUAGUUGUUCCAAAACUCAAAAAGAAUCUCUUAUCAGUUGGACAACUCAUUGAUGAUAUUAAAUGUGUUUUUGAAUUUAACACUGAUGGUUUUAUUGUGAAGAGCAAGGAAAACAAGGUUCUGGCAAAGGGGAGUAAGCAAGGGAAGCUAUACACAUUGGAAGGAGACUUUCAUGCUGCCUUCAACGCAAUUCAAGGAGAAUCUAGCGGUUUUAGUUUAUGGCACAAGAGGCUUGGCCAUGCCAAUCCUAAAAUCUUGGAGGCCUUAAAACGCAAUGAUUUUAUUGACUUUUCUAGUUGGUCUAAAGCACCCCGUAUUUGUGUUUCUUGCCAAUUAGGCAAGAGUUGUAGGAAAUCUUUUAAUUUAUCUAAUAAUAAAGCAGAUUUUCCUUUACAAAAAGUGCAUUGUGAUAUAUGGGGUCCAGCUCCCAUUACUUCUACUCAACAUUUUCGUUGCUAUGUAUUAUUUGUAGAUGAUUAUUCACGUUUUAGUUGGUUAUAUCCCUUAAAACAAAAAUCUGAUUUCUUGGAGUGCUUCUUGAAAUUUCAGAAACAAGUUGAAAAGCAAUUGGACAAAAAGAUCACAAUAUUUCAAAGCGAUGGAGGAGGGGAAUUUAAUUCUACAGCCUUCAUCAAACAUCUUGAAAAUUGCGGUAUCACAAGACAAAUUUCUUGUCCAUACACUCCGGAGCAAAAUGGUGUUGCCGAGAGAAAGCAUAGACACAUCAAUGAGACAGCCUUGACGAUGAUGUUUCAUGCUUCUUUGCCACUCAAAUUAUGGGUGGAUUCUUUUCUUGCAGCCACUUAUAUCAUUAACAGACUGCCUCUUUCACCUUUAAAAAAUAAAAGCCCUUAUGAAAUUCUUUUCAAAAAAUUACCGGACUAUAAAGGGUUAAAAGUCCUAGGUUGUAGAUUUUUUCCUUAUCUUCGGGAUUACUGUAAAACAAAAUUUGAUAAAAAAUCAUAUCCAUGUGUUUUCAUAGGCUAUAGUCCCCUCCAUAAAGGAUAUCGUUGUCUACAACCUGAGACUAAUCGUGUAUAUAUAUCAAGGCAUGUUGUAUUUGAUGAAAAUUAUUUACCAUUCAAAAACUUAACGUCAUUUUUUAAUGUGCAGGAACAUAGUACAUUGACCACCUUCCCUCAACAAGAUGAGUGGCUCCCAAAGAAUUCUCCCAAUUGUGAGAAUCUUAAUGAUUCACAUGCUGUCAAAGUAAACAAUUGUAAAGGCGCUACAAUAUCAACACCACAUGUGCAAUUCAUGCCCCACAAGCAUGUGAACUUGGACAACAACUCAAAUGUUACUUCUCCAAUUAUUUCAAAUUUCCCACAAGAGAAUUUAGAGGACAAUUUGAAUUCAGCAACUCCACACGACAAGUCAGAAGCAAUUCCAAAUAUUUUGGAGUCUCCACAUGCAAUGCAUCCUUUGACUACAAAUGAUUCAAAUUCUAGUAGUUCACAUGCAACUGAACCACCUAAUUUGUCCAGAAAUACGAACAACAGCCCUGCCACAAAUUCACAACCAGAUUAUCCUGACAUAUCCAAUCGCUUAUUUGUGGAACUUAAGAUACCAAACACAGCUGCGGAACCGCAAAGCCUAAAUACUCAUCCCAUGAUGACACGCAAUAAACUCAAACAAAAUCCUAAAUUAGCCCUUCAAGCCAGCCACAGUAGAGAAAUUGAACCUAAAACACUCAAAACAGCCUUAAAGAAUCCACUUUGGACUCAAGCUAUGAAAGAAGAGCUUCAAGCAUUGCAUCAAAAUCAGACAUGGGUCCUUGUGCCGCGGCCUAACAAUGUUAAUGUCAUCGGAUCGAAGUGGGUAUAUCGUAUCAAAUACAGAGAAGAUGGAACCAUUGAUCGCUAUAAAGCUCGAUUAGUUGCCAAGGGAUUCACACAGGUUCCAGGAGUCGACUUCGAUGAAACCUUCAGUCCCGUUAUAAAGGCCACAACUAUUCGCCUUAUCCUUGCAAUUGCUGUGAGCUCAAAAUGGCUUAUCAAGCAGCUAGAUGUUCGCAAUGCUUUUCUUCAUGGACUAUUAAAGGAGACUGUCUACAUGGAGCAGCCUCCUGGGUUUCGCAAUUCACGUCAUCCAGCAUAUGUUUGCAAGCUUAAAAAAUCGCUCUAUGGCGUGAAACAGGCACCUAGAGCGUGGUUCGAGUGUCUUUCUCAAGCCUUAAUUUCUCUUGGAUUUUCUAGUAGCAAAGCUGAUAGCUCUUUAUUUAUAUUUAAUAACAAAUCCAUUCUUAUACUUAUAUUAAUUUAUGUUGAUGAUGUGAUCAUUACAGGAAAUAAUGAGAAGGAAAUUCAAUCAAUCAUCAACAAUCUGAGCUCAAAGUUUGCUUUAAAAGAUCUUGGCAACCUACAUUACUUCCUAGGCAUUGAAGUUCAACAAUUCACGCAUGGCAUCUUUCUAUCUCAAGCGAAGUACACUAAAGACCUUCUUUCCAAGGCAAGAAUGCAGGAUUGUUCUCCUAUCAACACGCCGAUGGCUAUACGAUCAAUACCGUGUUCGGAUGAUAAUGAACCUGUGGAUGCAACUGAAUAUAGAGGCCUUGUUGGAAGCCUUCAAUAUCUCACCUACACAAGGCCCGAUAUCACAUUUGCUGUCAAUCGAGUCUCUCAACACUUCCAAGCACCAACAAAAGCCAACCUCAAGGACGUGAAAAGGAUCCUUCGUUACCUUAAAGGUACCCUUGACUUUGGCCUUAGAUUUUUGUCUCAAAGCUCUCUCAAGCUCUAUGCCUUUUCCGAUUCCGAUUGGGCUGGAUGUCCGAUAACAAGACGAAGUACAACAGGAUUUUGCAUUUAUCUUGGAAGCAACUGUAUCUCUUGGAGCUCCAAGAAACAACACACAGUCUCUCGCUCAAGUGCCGAAGCCGAAUAUAGGUCCAUGGCCUCUGCCGCUGCCGAGUUAACAUGGCUCACAUAUCUCCUUAAUGACAUUGGGUUCUGUAUUCCGAAAGCACCCACACUUCUCUGUGACAAUUUGAGUGCAAUUCAUAUGACUAAGAACCCAGUGUUUCAUGCUAGAAUGAAACACAUUGAGCUUGACGUGCAUUUUGUUCGUGAGAAGGUUGCUAAAGGGUCAUUAUUUACACGAUAUGUGCCUUCUCAUCUUCAGAUUGCAGACACUCUUACAAAACCUUUGGGGAAGCAUCAAUUUCUCACGCUACGAACCAAGCUAGGCGUUCAUCGCAUGUCACUGCCUAGCUUGAGGGGGGCUGAUAAGGACAAGUCACAAGCAACAAAUAUGGUAGCUUGUACCGCCAUGGCAAGAGGAUUUCCAACAUCUCGUCUAAGCCAUAAUUGAUGGAAAAUAUAGCAACACAUGUCAUGGUGGACUCAUCACAACGGCUAGUUGAUUAUUAUAAUUAUUGUAAAUAUUGUCUUUCCUUGUACAACAUCUUGAACGUCUUUAUAUAUUUGUAAAAAUCAAGAAUUGAAAAAGUAACAAAAACAAUUCCUAUUUUCACCAUAUUCAAGCAUCUCAAAUAUUUUCAAAUUUGACUCGGAUUUUAAUAAAAUUUAACAUCUCGAACCAAGUCACUACUCUAGAGAAAAAUUUCAAGAAUAUAUCUGUUGAUUCCGGUAGGGCAAGAGUCUCAUGCACAAGUUUCUCAUCUAUUUUCUUACCAGAACAAAUUUCUAGUCAAAAUGAGGGUGUGAAAGGAAGAUAAAUAGACGAAAUUUGGCCCACCACUUCAUUCUUCCUAAAUGAAUAACUUUUUACCCUAUUAAACGAGGAAAAAUGGAUUAGAUUCUCCCUUAAUUUGAUCUGAUUAGUGAUUACUAAAUAAAGACCACACGCUUUAUUGUAGUGUGUUUCGUCAUUUAAUACAUUGAAGUUUGUAUGUUUUUAAAUUGGCCCUAGUUUUAGAUCACUUAGUUGGAAAGGGACAUCCUAUAUUAUUUUUAAAAAGCACAUCCUAUAAGACUCCAACAGAUGGAGUCCAAGUUCUAGAAUAGAUGAAUAAAUGAUGUCAAUUAAAUGGCAAUAGCCCACCAAAGAAGACAAAGAAAACAAGUUAGGAGAGAUUCUAGGGUAUACCAAAAGUACUACACUUAAUUAAUACAUAUAUGCUAUAUGUGUAUUUAUUUUAAAAAAUUAUCAUGUAAUUAAUAGUUAUAUUUAAUUGAACUAUACAUAUCAUACAUGUAUUAGUUAUAUGUAGCACAUAUAUUAUACUCUAGAAUUUCUCACAAGAUAAUAUGUCAUUAUACCACAAAGUUUGAAUCCUAUGAAAUAUGUUUAAAAUUGACUCUUGUAGAAAUUUUUAUGUGGUAGUGAAAUGAUUAUGAUAAAUAAUAUAUUAACACAUGCCAAUAUAUAAUUAUGCUACAUCAAUUAGGGUACCAUUGGUUUCACUUUUUUAUUUUACGUCUUAACUUUUGUAUUGACAAUAUUAGUUUUGUAUUAUAUAUAUAUAUAUAUAUAUAUAUAUAAUUACUAAGUUAUUUUUUGCAAUCAAUAAAUAUCUAAUAACUCAAUACUUUUACAUUUAUGCUCAUAAAAUUUUUACUUAUUAAAUAAAUAUUAAAAUAUCUCAAAAAUAAUAAACUAUAUUUUUUAACACGAAUUAAAACAAAUAAUUUUCACAUUUAAUCUUGUUUUAGUUUAUAAUAUGGACCAUUCAUUCACCACUUGGCAUAACUUUAUAACCUAGGUCCUGUUUGGAAUCGAAGUACUAUACCUUUUAAGUUACAACUGUCGUAAAAAAAAUUGUAAUUGUAAAACAAAAAAUUAAUAGCUGUGAACUUAAUGAUUGCUUACUAAAGUUUAGGCAUUUAUUUAUUAGUUAAUUGUCUAAAAUUUACUUGUGAAUGUUAUUGACAAUACUUAUGUAUUGAUUAAAAAGAUGAAGUAAGGCAUUGAUCUUAGUAAUGGUGAUUUACCUUCAAUAGAAAUAUUUUAUACUAGAUUGACAUAUUUGUGUAUUUAUUUUAAUGUUAAAACUUUAAUUUCUCAUUUACACUGAUAAAAUUUAGAAAUGGGUAUUAUAUGUAGAUUGUUAAGCUCCUAUUAUAAAUUUAUAGUUUGACUUAUAUAAUUUAAUUUUUUUGUGUUUUUAAAAGUAUUGUUUCAAUAUUUGUGAAGUAAAAACCCAUUGCAGGUUACGCAAGGAUUUAGUAAUUGUUAAAACCUACAGAGGGUGAAUUUUUUUUUUUAAAUAAAAAACCAAUAGCGAGUUAAGAAUUUACUGAUUUAAUUAUCUUUUACAAGUGCAUGUUUGAUAAUGAUAAAAUCACUGCACUGAAAGAAAUUCUAUGAAAAAUAUAAUUCUUGUUCUGUAUUUUUAAUGAAAUUUUCAGAGUUAUUUAUACAAAAUAAAGACAAAGUAGCCCAUGAAAGCCUUAAUAAUAUUAAAGGAGAAUAAGUGAAUACUUCCUAAACUAUUGCACAAUAUCUUUAUAAAAUAGGAAUGAAAUAUUCCUACAUGAUAUUGACAUUCAAGUGCAAAAAUCGUGCCGGAGAUAUUCCUCGACAAAUAACUUUGAUGUGAGCAAGUCGUGUCACGUGUGGAGUGAUAAACCCGACUUGACCGUUAAUGACUUUCCUUUUGGUAAUCUUGGUCAGCUUGCUUAACAAGUGGUACGCAUAACCCAUCCAUACAGCUAGGCUAGCUAAACAGCAUAAAUAAAUGUAUAACGAUUCUUAUAUAAAAAGCCACCACCCCAAGCCAAAACAAAAAAAAACAAUUGUGCUGAAUACAACAAUAUAAUUUCUUCAGUUAUAUUUACUUGGAAACAAGAGAGAUGAAUACGAAGAAGCAGAAGCCAAAAGCUAUUGUAGUUGGAGGAAGCAUUGCUGGGGAAUCAUGCGCAAAAGCACUUGUUUCAGCAGGCUGGGAUGUUGUUGUGAUUGAGAAAACUCGUGGACCCCCAACCCAAAACCCAACCGGUGCUGGCCUUGGACUCGAUCCAUUGGCUCAGAAAAUUGUUCAGUCAUGGCUCCACGAAC
rnacentral:lncRNA from 1 species